rnacentral:lncRNA from 1 species
AAACCUUCUCUUUAUUUCACAGAGCACAGAACCAACUCCUGAUUCAUCAAUAUCAUAUUAGUUCUCUCUAAAGCUUCCCUUUAAUUUACGGUUUUAAACCUUCUCUUGUUCUAGUUUGUGAGUAAAUUAAGAGAGACCAAAAAUGAGUGUGGAGAUUUUGGAUGGUGCCACCAUUGUCAACUUUCUGGAGGACGAGGAAGCAUUCAGCGCGCAAAUAUGUGACCGCUUCGCCCACCUUGAUUCAGACCAUGAUGGCCGGCUUUCCUACGGGGAAAUGUUGAAGGAGCUGCAGUGUUUGAGGUUAUUGGAAACCCACUUCGGCGUAGAUGUGGAAACAGACCCGGAUGAGCUUGCUCUCGUCUAUGGUUCUCUUUUUGUCCAAUUUGAUCAUGACUUGAAUGGGACAGUGGACUUAGAAGAGUUCAAGUCAGAGACCAAGCAAAUGAUGCUAGUCAUGGCCAGUGGUAUGGGUUUCUUGCCUGUUCAGAUGGUACUGGAAGAAGACAGUUUCCUGAAGAAGGCUGUGGAGUGGGAAUCUGCUAAACUCGUUGCCUGAUUAAUUCCACAUCCAUUACCCUAUACAUGACUCAUUAAUUGUCUUCGUUAUUUCUUUCUUCUCCGAAUGCAUUCCGAGUUUAGCUGAAUGUAGCAAAGAAAAUAAAUGAAAUGCUCUGUUAUUGGUGCAAUUUGGUCAUGACCAUCCAGCCAUAGUUAAUAUAACAAAAGGCUGACAGAAACACAAAUAUCUUUCCUCUUUCAAGAGGGCUUCAUAAAUGGGCACAAGGAUUGAGCUGGAUCCAUCUCGGUCAUCGCUCAAAAUUUAGCUUCAAGGGAAUGGAAUUGGUAGAACAGAGUAGCAUCAGAAUGGGAAAAGAACUUGCUUGUGGAGGGAACAGAUGAAAAUUAAAGAAAUAACUGUCCUAAUAUAAAGUAUAGUUAAAUUAAAACUUCGAGUCGAAUCUGUUGUGCGUCUAAACACCUAAUUCCAUCAUGAUUUGUUUAGCAUGCGUAUGAAACAAACUUCCCGCAUUGAAAAGAGGGAAGCAUCAAGCACUUAAUAUCCUAUAUAUGCAGGAACGCUACUUGAACAAAGAACCUGGAUGGUUAAAAACAACACACUUGCAGGCUUGUAGCUCCUGAUAUUUUCAGCUCAUGUGAAGAUGGACAAUGAUGGUUGAAAAAUCUUUGUAUGUUUUAUUUGAGUAGAAUACUCAUUACAAUAUUAUCAUUUUAAAAAAAUUUGUCUUUUUCAUCUAGACAUGUUGCCCAUUAUAAUAAGACCACUCGAAAAAAAUCUUUGUGUUUCUUUACUUGGAUAGGUUAUCCAUUACUAUGAGACUACUUUGAAAAGAUCUUUGAGUUUUUUAUUUGGGUGGGUCACCCAUGACAAAUUGAACAUUUCAGAAUCUUUGAAUUCUACCAAUAGACAGGUUGUUUGGUACUACCAUAUCACUUCAAAAGUCUUUCACAAAGAUAAUCUUUUUCUUUAGAAACUCUAUCUCCUUUUCUUUCAUGUACACUUUCUAACCCUCGUUUUUUAGAAAGUGUGAUUUUUAUCCUUAUCUAUUUUUUCUCUGAGUGCGCUUUUAAGCCCUCAUUGCAAACAUUUUUCAGAAGGAUUGACCAUUUUUUAAUAUGGUGAGUCCAUAAUCUCGUUCUUUUCUUCUUCUUUACAAAGCUUAUUGUCUAAAGUCUCUCACAAGACUCUCGUUAUAAACAUUGUAAAAAGAGGGGGCAACUGUCAUAAUUCAUUUCUGGAUUAUUUUCUAAAUUCACCUUUUUUCUUUCCAAAAUAAAAGUCAAAAAAGAAAAUAAAGAAAGCAAGAAAACUAGCGACUUGGAAAAGUAGGCUGAAGAGGAUUUCAUACUGGAGAGACAAUGCAAAUUAAAUGGUUAUUGGAUGAAUCUAUUUAAAAAUUAAGCCCGGGGAUAUAAUUAGAAUUUUAAUAGGCCAAUUUGAUUUAAUCAUGGGCCAAAUUGAGAAUUUAAUUAUGUUUAAGAAUUAAUUUGGGUCCAAUUAAAGGAUUUAAUUAGGUGCAAGAACUUAAUUAUACAUUAAAUAUGUCAAAUUAAUUUUAUUAAGAGCUUAAUUGAUGAAAAUCUAAGUUUAGAAGCCCAAUUUGAGCUUAAUUGAGAAAAUUAGAAUUUUAGAAGACCAAAUUUAAUUUCCAUAAAGUCAAUUGGUUCAAAUUAGAGGUAAAAUUGCAAGAAAAUCAAUUUUUUAGGGUUAAAUUGAAGAGAUUCGCAACUAAGGAUCAUUUUGCAAAAAACAUCGAACUAUGGGGUAAUUAACGAAAAUCAGGAGUGAAAUUGAAGAAAAUUUAAAGUUUGAUGGUCAAUUGAUGGUCAAAUUGCAUAAAUCCAAGACCAAUGACCAAAUUAAAAAAGGUGCUGAAAUUCGGGGCUGAUAUUGAAUUCGGCAAGGGCAAAAUUGUAUUAAAUCAAAAGUUUGGAGUUAAUUAGAGGUCAAAUUGAAAGAAAUCAAAAGCUGAAUGAUCAAAUUGAACUUUGGAAAAAAAACCUUAAUUUAAGGUCCAAAACGGAGUUGUUUUUUAACAUUAAAAAAUAAGGCAACCAGACGACGCGUCGUCUGGUUAAUGUUCAUUGCCUUCUUUUUUUGACCUGAAAAAGUUGUCUGGAUGGCUAUUUUUCAGGGGCAUUUAAUGCUUCAUCUCUCAACCAAAUCGGACAAACCAUACACCACCAUGAUGAGCUGACAUUAUACUUCACCCCAUAGUGGAUCUCGCUGGCUAAUUGUCCUUACAGCCGCCACAGUGUCGCCUCAAAUUGGUCAACAUGACCAACCUUUAGCAACCAACUUUUUCAGGUCAUGAUAACAACUUUGAACCAAAGGUUAAGAUCCUUCUGUUUCGAAUCAAGGGCCAAGAUUGGCACCAGUAAAGACAAGAUGUUCAUCUUUCAUCCUCUAUAAAUAGAGGUGCAUUCCAUGCCCUGAGCAUCAAGAAAUUAGAGCCCAAAUUUGGUGAAAAUAAGUUUUUCUUACCAGAUCUUUUCUUCUUCUCCACCAGCCAUCUUCUUCCUCUUUUUUCGCAACAUCUUCACUUGCAGCGAUGCUGCCAACAACACAUUGGCCUUCCUAGCACUGCUAAUUAGCAAUCCCCCAUAGUUGGUAACCUUUUUCUUCCCCUUUUUUGAUGCAAACAAGGAUCCAUUUGCAAGCAUAACAUUGGUUCUGCAUGCAAAAAUCAACCACUUCACAUGGUCAUUGGGUCAGGCCAAUGACCAUGUAAAGAUGGGUUGAACCCAUUCCAACCCAGCCCAUGAUGGCUUGAUCGAGUCCAGCCCAUAAAAAAGAAAAGAUGAAGGCCAGGUCUAUUGGGCUGCCUGGCAGCAUGACCCGACCCGGCUAGGUUUGGCCCAGAUGUCUGGGUAGGGCCCAGCCCAAUAUAUAUAAUAAUAAUAUAUUAAUAAAUAAUAUUAAAAUAUUAAAAAAAUCGAAAGCCCUUCCAAAUAAUUUGUGAUUUUCUCGCAUGUUUUUUUUUUUUUAUCAAUUUUGCAUGAUAUUAGGAUGUAUAAUUAUACUAUAUGAUACAUAUCCGAUAUUAAAAUACCUAGUUUUUUCUGAAACAUUUCAAAAAAAAAUUCAAAAAUUCAAAAAAAAAUUCAAAAUUUUUAAAUUAAUUUCCUCUUUCAAAAAAACAAAAAAUAUUUUGUUUUCAUGUAUAUAGUCAAAUCCUUAAAGUUUUCCAAGCAUGUUUUCAUAAAAAAAACAAAAAAUUGUAUUUUUCUCAUGUUUUAAAAUGUAAAAUGGAUAUCAUAACUAAUUUAUGAUUAUCUGUUAGGGUUUAGCCAAAAUGUCAAAAACCCUUCACCAACUAUUUUUUUCAUUUUAUAUUAUGGUUUAAAUGUAGACUUAAAUAUUUAGGGGCGUAAAACUAUACAGUAGAGUACACCCUCAGGUAUUAAAGAUAAAAGUUCAAUAUAAAUGCAAUUCUAAAAUUUAGACUUUAGAACGGUUGGAUUCAACCUCAUAAGGUAUAGAUUUUCUCACGAAGAGAGAUAUAUAUAUAUCUUAAACCUUAGACGAUUCCAACGAAUAGAAACUUAACUUAGAAUAACAAUUAAAUAACAAUGUAGCUUACUUCAGGUAGGCUGUACUGGAGAUAAUACGCAUUUUCCUUGCACAAUCAGUCUCUUAAUCAAACUCUCACAGACCAUAGAUUUCAUAGUAACUAUUAUACUAAGUAGCGACUCUUAAAUCUUAAUUAUAAUUUUAUAGUUACAUCCAAAACUCUUUUCUUUCCUAAUAAUACCUCUCAAGAGGCACUUAAAAUGGGUCGUUUGACGUCGCCCGUGACAUAAUCCAUUAAACAUGAAAUGGAAAUAAAUAAGUAAAGAAUAUUGCAAGCAUCAAGUUGUAGAAGUCCAUCUCUGGAAAAAAAAAAAAAAGAAGAAGAACAAGAACAAGAAAAAAUUCAGUUCGAACCUUAAUUAAGUUUGUUUAAAUCUCUAUCACACCCAUUAUUUAAUGUUUGACAAACAACACAAGUAGAAUAGGUGAAAUCAAACCUAUAGUACAAUAUUUGCAUUUUUGUUGUGUUGUGAGAAAAAUAAAUAAAAAAGAACAUGGUCCGUCUCGGAAGGAGAAGGGAAAUUGACCGUUGUCGCUGCUUUUGACAGGGGGUUUGAAAUUAGCAACACCAUCUUGGGAUCUUCGAGAAAGUCAACUUUCAUUUAAUUUUCGACUUUAUACACACGGCUAGCCCACCGAAUUUUAUUAGGGGAAAACCCGUUCCCAAGUUGCCAUUGCCAUUAGAUUAAGACUUAUGGCUCGCCUGUUUAAGAUAGUUCUCAUAAUAAAAUUUUAGUGGCUGACCGACCGAUCCUCGAAGCAGCAGAUUCUGCAAAGCGUCCAAAAACCAUGCAGCAAAGGGUAAUUAGAAGCAUGUCAGAAAGCAAAAACCAAAUGGAAACUGGGUGCUAACUAUAUUUCUGACUGCUCGUCAACUGUCUGUGUGCCCCUCAUUUACGUAUAAAUGAGCACAAGACCAGCUUCUUAUUCAUCAACAUCAAAUCAGUUAUCUCGAAACCUUCUCUUUAUUUCACAGAGCACAGAACCAACUCCUGAUUCAUCAAUAUCAUAUUAGCUCUCUCUAAAGCUUCCCUUUAAUUUACGGUUUUAAACCUUCUCUAGUUCUAGUUUGUGAGUAAAUUAAGAGAGACCAAAAAUGAGUGUGGAGAUUUUGGAUGGUGCCACCAUUGUCAACUUUCUGGAGGACGAGGAAGCAUUCAGCGCGCAAAUAUGUGACCGCUUCGCCCACCUUGAUUCAGACCAUGAUGGCCGGCUUUCCUACGGGGAAAUGUUGAAGGAGCUGCAGUGUUUGAGGUUAUUGGAAACCCACUUCGGCGUAGAUGUGGAAACAGACCCGGAUGAGCUUGCUCUCGUCUAUGGUUCUCUUUUUGUCCAAUUUGAUCAUGACUUGAAUGGGACAGUGGACUUAGAAGAGUUCAAGUCAGAGACCAAGCAAAUGAUGCUAGCCAUGGCCAGUGGUAUGGGUUUCUUGCCUGUUCAGAUGGUACUGGAAGAAGACAGUUUCCUGAAGAAGGCUGUGGAGUGGGAAUCUGCUAAACUCGUUGCCUGAUUAAUUCCACAUCCAUUACCCUAUACAUGACUCAUUAAUUGUCUUCGUUAUUUCUUUCUUCUCCGAAUGCAUUCCGAGUUUAGCUGAAUGUAGCAAAGAAAAUAAAUGAAAUGCUCUGUUAUUGGUGCAAUUUGGUACCUUAAAACUUGGUUCUCUCCUAAUGCAAUUUGGUCAUGACCAUCCAGCCAUAGUUAAUAUAACAAAAGGCUGACAGAAACACGAAUAUCUUUCCUCUUUCAAGAGGGCUUCAUCAACUAAUAGAUACAUGGGCACAAGGAUUGAGCUGGAUGCAUCUCAGUCAUCGUGUGUCAGGUCCAGGGGAACAGAUGAAAAUUAAAGAAAUAACUAUCCUAAUAUAAAGUUCAGUUAAAUAAAAACUUUGAGGCGAAUAUGUGGUGCGGUUUAAUUAUAUUUUAUGCUCUAAACACAUAAAUCAAGGUAUUUGAGAGACUGGUAACAAUUACUUUUCAAAGUGUUUUUCAUUCUAAAACACAUUAAAAUAUUGUUUUUUUUUUUAAAAAAAAUUAUUUUUGAUAUCAGCAUAUCAAAAUAAUUUAUAAAUAUAAAAAAUAUAUUAAUUUAAAGCAAAAUAAAAAAUAAAUUUUUUUUAAUUUUAUUUAAAAACACUUUCAAAACAUAAUACUCAAACACUACAGUGAUCAUUAUUUGUUUAGCAUGCAUGUGAAACAAACUUCCCGCGUUGAAAAGAGGGAAGCACUUAAUAUCCUAUAUAUACAGGAACGCAACUUGAACAAAUAACCUAGAUGCUUCAAAACAACACACUUGCAGGCUUCUAGUUCCUGAAAUUUUCAGCCUCUUGUGAAGAUGUGGAUAAUGAUUGUUGAAAAAUCUUUGUAUUUUUUAUUUGAGUAAAUCACUUAUUAUAAUGAGAUUAUUUUUAAAAAAUCUUUAUCAUUUUCAUCUUAGCAGGUCACCCAUUACAAUAAAACCAGUUGAAAAAAAUCUUUGUAUUUUUUCACCAGGAUAAGUCACUCAUUAUAAUGAGAUUACUUUAAAAAGACCUUUGAGUUUUUCAUUUGGUCAUUGAACAUUUCAAAAUCUUUGAAUUCUACUAAUAGACAAGUUGCCUGAUACUACCAUAUCACUUCAAAAGUCUUUCACAAAUAUCAUCUUUUUCUUUAGAAACCCUAUCUUUUUUUCUUUCGAUUACACUUUCUAGCCCUCGUUCUUUAGAUAGUAUGCUUUUUAUCCCUAUCUAUUUUUCCUCUUAGUGCGCUUUUAAGCCCUCAUUGCAAACAUUUUUCAGAAGGAUUGACAAUUUUUUAAUAUAGUGAGUCCAUAAUCUCUUUCUUUUUCUUUUUCUUUACACAGUUUAUUGUCUAAAGUCUUGCACGAGACUUUCAUUCUAAACAUUUUGAAGAGGGGGAAAACUGUCAUAACUCAUUUCUUGGUUAUUUUCUAAAUUUACCUAUUUUCUUUUCAAAAUAAAAGUCAAAAAAGAAAAUAAAGAAAGCAAGAAAACUAGCAACUUGAAAAAGUAGGCUGAAGAGGAUUUCAAACAUAUAGAAAGAUUAAGUUGCAACUUUGGAAGCCUAAUUGUACCCCAUUUUACCCAAAAUUGGAGAGACAAUGCAAAUUCAAGGUCAAAUUAAAUGGUUAAUGGAUGAAUAUGGUUAAAAAUUAAGCCCGGGGAUAUAAUUAAAAUUUUAAUAGGCCAAUUUGAUUUAAUCAUGGGCUAAAUUGAUAAUUUAAUUAUCUUUAAGAAUUAAUUUGGAUCCAAUUAAAGGAUUUAAUUAGGUGUAAGGACUUAAUUAUACUUUAAAUGGGUCAAAUUAAUUUUAUUAGGGGCUUAAUUGGUGAAAAUCUAAGUUUGAAAGCCUAAUUUGGACAUAAUUGAAAAAAUUAAAAUUUUAGGAGAUCAAAUUUAAUUUUUAUAAAGUGAAGUGGUUCAAAUUAGGGGUAAAAUCGCAAGAAAAUCAAACUUUUGGGGUCAAUUAAGGGUUAAAUUGAAGAGAUUUGCAACUAUGGACCAUUUUGCAAAAAACAUUGAACUAAGGGGUAAUUGAUGAAAAUCAGGGGUGAAAUUGAAGAAAAUUUAAAGUUUAAUGGUCAAUUGAUGGUCAAAUUGCAUAAAUCCAAGACCAAGGAUCAAAUUGAAAGGACAAUGAAAUUCAGGGUUGAUAUUGAAAUUCGGCAAGGGCAAAAUUCCAUUAAAUAAAAAAUUUGGAGUCAAUUAGGGGUCAAAUUGAAAGAAAUCAAAAGCUGAAGGACCAAAUUGAACUUUGAAAAAAACCCUAAUUUAAAGUCAUGGAGUUGUUUUUUAACAGUAAAAAAAAAAAGGCAACUAGACGACGCAUUGUCCAGUUACUGUUCAUUGUCUUCUUCUUUUGACCCGAAAAAGUUGUCCGGGUGGCUAUUUUCCAAGGACAUUUAAUGCUUCAUUUCUCAACCAAACCAGACAAACCAUAUACCACCAUGAUGAGCUGACAUUAUACUUCACCCUAUAGUAGAUCUCGCCAGCCAAUUGUCCUUGCAGCCGCCCCAAAUUGGCCAACCUGACCAGCCUUUAGCAACCAACUUUUUCAGGUCAUGAUAGCAACUUUGAACCAAUGGUUGAGAUCUUUCUGUGUUGAAUCAAGGGCCAAGAUUUGACACCAGUAAAGACAAGAUAUCCAUCUUCCAUCUUCUAUAAAUAGAGGUGGAUUCCAUGCCCUGAGCAUCAAGAAAUCAGAGCCCAAAUUUGGUGAAAAUCAGUUUUUCUUACCAAAUCUUUUCUUCUUCUCCACCAUACAUCUUCUUCAUCCUCUUUCGCAACGUCUUUGUCAUCAGCAACGGUGACAACAACACGUCGGCCUUCCUAGCACUGCUAACUAGCAAUCCCCCAUAGUUGGUAACCUUUUUCCUCCCUCUUUUAGAUGCAAAUGGGGUAGCCAUUUGCAUGCAGAACCAAUGUUGGUUCUGCAUGCAAAAAUUAACCACCUCACAUGGUCAUUUGGUCAUUGGGCUGGGCCAAUGACCAUGUGAAGAUGGGUUGGACCCAUUCCAACCUAACCCAUGAUGGCUUGGUCAGGUCGAGCCUAUAAAAAAAGGAUAAAGGCCAGGUCUAUUGGGUUGCCUACCCAACCGGGUUGGGUUCGGCCCAAAUGGCUGGGUCGGGCCCAGCCCAAUAUAUAUAAUAAUAAUAUAUUGAUAAAUAAUAAUAUUAAAAAAACAAAAAAAAUUCCAAAAAAAUUUCAAAAGCCCUUUAAAAAAAAUUGUGAUUUUCUCGCAUGUUUUUCUAUCAAUUUUGGAUUGUAAAAUUACAAUAUAUGAUACAGAUCCGAUAUUAAAAUACCCAGUUCUUUCUGAAACAUUUCAAAAAAAUUCAAAAAUUCAAAAAAAUUUAAAUUAAUUUCUUUUUUCAAAAUUCCAAAAAAAAUUUCAAAAGCCCUUUCUUUUCAUGUAUAUGGCCAGAUCCUCAAAGUUUUCCAAGCAUGUUUUCAUAAAAAGCAAAAAAUUGUAUUUUUCUCAUAUUUUAAAAUGUAAAAUGGAUAUCAUAACUAGUUUAUGAUUAUUUGUUACGGUUUGGUCAAAAUAUCAAAAACCCUUCACCAAUUAUUUUUUUUUCAUUUUAUAUUACGGUUUAGAUAUAGACUUUAAUAUUUGGGGGCGUAAAAUUAUACAGCUGAGUAUACCCUCAUGUAUUAAAAAUAAAGGUUCAAUAUAAAUGCGAUACUAAAAUUUAGACUUUAGAAAAGUUAGGAUUCAACCUCAUAAGGUAUAGAUUUCCUCACAAAGGCAAAUCAACCUUAAACCUUAGACUAUUCCAACGAAUAUAAACUUAACUUAGAAUAACAAUCAAACAAGAAUUCAGCUUAUUUCAGGUAGAGUACACUGGGAAUAAUGUGUAUUUUCUUUGCACAAUUAGUCCCUUACUUAGACUCUCACAGACCAUAGAUUUUCUAGUAAUCAUAAUAUUAAGUGGCGACUCCUAAACUUAAUUGUGAUUUUAUAAUUAAACUUAAAACAUUUUUUUUCCUAAUAAUAACUCUCAAGAGACACUUAAAACAAGUCGUUUCACGUUGUUCCGUGACAUAAUCCAUUAAACAUGAAAUGGUAAUAAAUAAGUAAAGAAUAUUGCAAUCAUCAAGUUCUAAAAGUCCAUCUCUGGAAAAAAAAACAAGAAGAAAAAAUUCAGUUCGAACCUUAAUUAAGUUUGUUUAAGGCCAUGUUUGUUUCCCGGAAUUCACUUUCCGGGAAAUUACUUUCCAAACUUUCCUGUGUUUGUUUGCCAUUAGAAAAGUUGGUCAACGGAAAACACUUUUCGGUCAACGGAAAACACUUUUCAGUCAACGGAAAUACUUUCCGGUCAACGGAAAACACUUUCCAGUCAAAGAAAAAUUUGGUUUGGUUUCCAGGAAAAUGUUUUCCCUUUUGGCUGUGUUUGUUUUCCGGAAAAUGGUUUCCGGGAAACCACUUUCCAAACUUUCCUGUGUUUUUUUGCCAUUAGAAAAGUUGGUCAACGAAAAGCACUUUCCAGUCAAAGGAAAAUUUGGCUUGGUUUUCAGGAAAGUGUUUUCCUGGAAAAUUUGGGCGGAAAACACUUUCCGGAAGUUGUGAAAAAUUUAGAAAUGUCAUUAUUUGCUGAUUAUAUCAAAUUUGAUCCUCAAACUUUUGAUUGCUAUAUAUAAUUUGUUUUGAAUAUUUAUUUUUCAAUUCCAUCUCUUAAAAUUUAAUUUUUAUAUUAAUUUUGGUCCUUAUUUUUAUAAUUGUUAUUUUCUUUUUUCUUAUCAUUUUUUUAUUGAAAUUUUUUAUUUAUCAAAUUUGAUCCUUAUUUUUUUUAUUGUUACUUUUUUUAUUUGAAAUAAUUUAUGAAAUGUUAAUUAUUAUUAUUUUAAUUUAUUCACCUUUUAUUUUUUUUUAAUUUUUUAGAUUUGAUCUCUAUUAUUUUGAUUAUUAUUUAUUUUAUUUGAGAUAAUUUAUGAAAUUAUAUUUUUUUUCAAUUUCAUUCUCAUUCAACUUUUUACUUUGUAAGAUUUGUUCCUCAUUAUUUUAAUAAACUUGAGAAUAAAACAUUAAUAAGUUAUUUUCCAGCUCAUUUUCCAUUACAUAACCAAACACUGGAAAAUGUUUUCCAACUUAUUUUUCAUUACACUACCAAAUAUCGAAAAAUACUUUUCCGGAAUUCACUUUCCAAAAGAAAACUACUUUCCAGCAAACAAACGGGACCUAAAUCUCUAAGAAGUUCUAAAAGUCCAUCUUUGAAAAAUAAAAAAUUCAGUUCGAACCUUAAUUAAGUUGGUUUAAAUCUCUAAGGCAACUAUAUGCCCAUUAUUUAAUGUUUGACAAACAACACAUGUAGAAUAGGUGAAAUCAAACAUAUAGUACGAUAUUUAAUUAUUGUGGGAAAAAAUAAAUAAAAAGAGAACAUGGUCUAUCUCGGAAGGAGAAGGGAAAUUGACCGCUGUCGGUGUUUUUGACGGGGGGUUUUCAAAUUUAGCAACACCAUUUUGCGACCAUCGAGUAAGUCAAGUUUCAUUUAAUUUUCGACUUUAUAAACACGGCUAGCCCACCGAAUUUUAUUAGGGGAAAAGCCCGUUCCCAAGUUGCCAUUGCCAUUAGACUAUGACUGAUGGCUCGCCUGUUUAAGAUGGUUCUAAUAAUAUUUUUUUAGUGGCUGACCGACCGAUCCUCGAAGCAGUAGAUUCUGCAAAGCGUCCAAAAACCAUGUAGCAAAGGGUAAUUAGAAGCAUGUCAGAAAAGCAAAAACCAAAUGGAAACCGGGUGCUAACUAUAUUUCUGACUGCUCGCCAACUGUCUGUGUGCCCCUCAUUUACAAACUUCCCGCAUUGGAUCACAAAAACAAUGACAUCUCAGGAGAUGGAAUGAAGGAGAGAAUGCUUUCGCCAAACAGCUCAAACAGGGAUACCAGAAGACGCCCAGUAUUCAAGUCAUCGUUCCAAACCUGUUGAGAAUGUGAUGCGGAAAAAUAAAUAAAAAGAAUUAAAGCAAUACAGAACCAAAUUUUAAAGAAAAAAGUUAAAAAUUAAAAGUAAAGAAAGGAAAAAGAAAAGGAAGAAGAGAGAAUUCAGGAACAAAAGUUUGUCAUUUCUAUUUAAUCAUAAAAACCUCUCUCAAACUGAAAGAAAAAUAUAAAAAUAAUAUAACCCUAAAACAUCCAACUAUUAGGCUUAACCAUCAAUUAAAAUUGUCUAAUAUAAAUUACUCAAAUAAAUAAAAUAAAAUAAUGACAUAGGUCCAAAAGGGUCCAGGCUGGGCUAUCCUACGUCAUUUUUGUUCAUAUACUUGUGUAAUCUGCAGUGUGGGUCUAGUGUCCCCACCAACUCUCCGGGGUUGGAAAAAAUCGACCCUGUUGAGUGUAGUUCUGGAUGGCCCUGAUAGCACUCCUAAAGAUUUGAAUCAAUCUACUGCAAAGUCUCUCUGGUGAUCGAAGUGCAAUCUAAAUCAGGUCAGCCCUCCCAAUGAACUAGAAACCGUCAAACCACACAAUUCAUGGUAAAAAUAACUUGCUCAUCUAGAAUAGCAUCAAUAUUAUCUUUUUGUGUUGAGAUCAGGUGAAAGAAGUAGAGGAUUCAAUAGGAUCAUCAAGAGGGGAGUUAGGUGACAUCUCAAAGAGGUCGUUUAGAAUAGAAUGUGGUUUUUGAUAUGCAAUUAAAUCAUCAAUAUUAAAUGUAGAGCUAAUGCCAAAAUCAAGCGGUAAAUCAAGAACAUAAGCAUUUGAACCCACCCGUUAUAGCAUUUUGAAUGGCCCCGCAUUACGUGCAUGCAAUUUUCGAUUAAUUUCGUAAGGAAACCAUUCAUAUCUAAUAUAUAUCAUACAAUAGUUUCUCACUUUAAAUUCAUUAUAUGAUCUAUGUAAAUCAGUUCAAAAUUUAUAUUGUGCAUUACUUGCUUUAAUAUGCUUAAUGAUCUCAACAUGCAAAUACCUCUUAAAGCAAAAUAUUACCAAAGCUUUUCCGUUAAAGCAAACCCCGAAUAUGAAUUGAUAUCACAAGCCACCCUUAGACGAAUAAAACAGUCUAGUUUUUAGCCACACUAACAUUGUUUUCCCAAAAAGUUGCAAAAGGCAUGUUUGAUUUGUUUCAAAUCAGGUUUUGCAAAAAAAUAAUAAUUAAGUCAUCAACAAAUAAGGAUGAUAACUUCACCCGACCAGUUUGGAAUCCAAUGUCAUUUAAGUUGAUUAGAUUGUAUUUUUGUCCAUUUGAAAAACAAAUAAAAUUCAAUUCAAUUUAACUAAAGAUGGAUGUGGAGGUCAAUAAAUGGUUGACUUGACCCAUCACUUGACUCAACUUCUACGUGGUUUUUUUAACCCUUUUAUAUUUUAUAGAAUUGUAAUUUAUUUUUCAAUAUAGUAUAUGGAUUUUUAUCUUAUUAUUCACCUAGCAUUAUUAUGGUUUUACAUGUAGAUGCAAAGUUUAGAUUCUAUUUUAUUGUUUUAUGAUUUAUGGAUGGAUAUAUAAUUUUUUUAAGCUUUAAUUUAAUUUUUUAAAAUUUUAUUAAAAAUAGAACAACCAGAUCAAAUGAAGUACUAAGUGGGUACUUGCCAAAUGAAGAAAGUCUUUCAUCGAAUCCAAUCCAAUUGUAUAGAAGAUAAAGUCAAGUGCUAGAUUUAAAAAUUUCUAGGUGGAGAUGGGAGAGAAAAAUUCAUCGUCAACUCAAUCUAUUAUCGUCCCUGUAAAUAAAGAAAGGAAGAGAAAUAAUCAAACCCUCUUUACUGAAAUAGACAAAUUCACUUUGUAGUCUCUACCAUUGGAUCAAUCUUUCCAUAUAUGAAACAAAGAUAUAAGAAUAAAGGAUCUCCAUGAUAAAUACCAUGUGAUGGAGCAUAGGAAUUUGAAAUCUUACCUUUUCAGCUCACUUAUAACAAGGUCAUUAAGAUACACUUUAUGAUCAAGGAAGUGAAACUAUCCAAACUCCCUGAUAGCAUCCAGGAUAAAGUCCUAUCUAAAAUAAUCAUAAACCUUUUUUAGGUCUACCUUAAUCAUCAUUAGAUAUUUUUUAAUUUUCUUUUUUGCAUGUAGAGUUAAGAGUCAAUCAGACAAUCAUAGUGGUAUUACUAUGCUUCUUAGAAACAAAUCAGUGGUACCAACUAGCCAAUAUGUGCUCCUCAUUUAGAAAGCAUACCUUGUUUAAAAUUAGUUGAAAGUCAUACCUUGUUUUCUCUAUAAGUGGCAUGUUGAUGAUAACUAUGUCACAUUUAGAAAGUAUUGAAUUUAGAUCCUCCUCAAACUUUGCCCCUGUCUGAUUCUCUAACUCUGUCUCCAUCUUAAGUCUAUUAUGAUACAGUAGAGUGCAAUUGAAAGGCUUCAAACGUUGGAGUAAAAGCAUUCCGAUGCGUUCAGCACUAAAAGUUCCCACUUUCUUUUCUUCAAGAUCAUAAGCCUUAUAGUCAAUUGCUGCCACAUUCCACUCCUCAUUGAUAACUUGAUGAUAUCCAGGUAAGAAAUUUCUUACAAGAGUAAGGAUUCUCAUGAGCUCAUCUUCUACAACUAAGACAACAUUGCUUCCAAUGACCUCUGCAACAGUUAACCCAGCAGCAGCCGCUGCCUUCAAAUCUAUAUGAUCAGAACCAAUUCCAGCAAUGAGAAGCAGUUGCAUGUUUUUUUGCCCUCUGGAUCCUUUCUACCGUAACAUACGCAAGGUAGAAAAGUGUAGUGAUGAGAACCAAUUCCAAUAAGGAGAAGCAUGCAGUUGCAGGUUUUUUAUCCUCUUAAUCCUUUCUGUCGUAACAUAUGCAGGGUGGAAAGGUGUAGUGAUGAGUGUUAAGUAAUAUUUAUCUAGUUUUAUUUAUUAAGGGUAAAAUAGUAUUUUCAGUUUAACCUAUAUAUAAUUCCUUUGUAUUUAGGUUAACUUAAGCACUCAUAAUAAACAUAUUAUUGAGAAUUCUAGCCUCCUUUUAUGUUUGAUCUGAAUUACUUUAACAUGGUAUCAGAGCCUAGUUGAUCGAACCCUUGGCUUGUUAAUUUUAUGGAACUCGCUGCCCUUGUAGAAAUCAUGUUCACCAAUCUCAAAGCCACUGCUCGUAUCAAAAUCGUUAUCAUCAUCCACUUCAUUCCCUGUAGGAUGUUCCAGCACGCUCAAUGCAUUCCUUUGAAGCUUAACCUCAGAUCCAUUUUUCAAAACAUCAGACAUGGGUUGUUUGACCUAUUAAAAGAUGGAGGAUGAAGAUCAGGUUUUAUGCUUGCGGCUGAAGAAUUAAUAUCUGAAACUUUAUUUUAGAUUCUUCAGCUUCUGCAAUUUGGUAUUUUUGUUCUGUCUCUGCAAUUGUUUUGGUAUUUCGUCUUCUCUUUGGUUUCUGCAAUUUGGUAUCAGCUUCUGCAAUUUGGUAUUUCUGUUCUGUCUCUGCAAUUGUUUUGGUAUUUUGUCUUCUCUUCGGUUUAUGCAAUUUGGUACUUCUGUUCUGUCUCUGCAAUUGUUUUCGGUAUUUCGUCUUCUCUUCGGUUUCUGCAAUUUGGUAUUUGAGUUAAGUUUCUGCAAAAAAUAAAAUAAAAUUGGAGUGAUAUUUUGUCUUCUGCUUCUGCAAAAUCUGGUAUUUCGACUUUCCUUCAACUUCUGCAAUUUGGUAUUUCUGUUCUAUCUCUGCAAUUGUUUUGGUAUUUCUUCUUCUCUUCAGUUUCUGCAAUUUGGUAUUUGUGUUCAGUUUCUGCAAAAACAUAAAAAUAAAAAAUUUGGAGUGAUAUUUUGUCUUCCGCUUCUGCAAAAUCUGGUAUUUCGACUUUCCUUCAGCUUCUGUCAUGGCAUUUACUACCAAAGAGAUUGUUUGGUUAAGUUGGUUACUUGCUGAUAUGAGAGUUUUCUUUUCUCAUCCUACUCCUAUGAAUUGUGACAACCAGAGUUCUAUUCAGAUUGCUCACAACUCGGUUUUUAUGAGCGAACUAAGCACAUUGAGAUCGAUUGUCAUUUUACUCGUCAUCAUCUCAAGCAUGGCACCAUUACUUUGCCUUUUGUUCAUUCUUCCUUGCAGAUUGCAGAUUUCUUUACCAAGACGCAUUCCAUAUCUCGUUUUUGUUUUCUAGUAAGCAAACUCUCGAUGCUUGUAGAUGUCGCAUCGUGAGUUUGAGGGGAGAUGUUAAGUAAUAUUUAUCUAGUUUUAUUUAUUAAGGGUAAAAUAGUAUUUUCAGUUUAACCUAUAUAUAAUUCCUUUGUAUUUAGGUUAACUUAAACACUCAUAAUAAACAUAUUAUUGAGAAUUCUGGCCUCCUUUUAUGUUUGAUCUGAAUUACUUUAACAAUGAGGACAUGGAGAUCAUGAAUAUGCUUGUCAAGUUCUGUGACAAUUACACAGUCGAAGAGCAAAAAAUCAACAAACUAGCCAUCCUAAUAUUCUUGGAAAUAAAAGACACGAACUAAACAUCUUGACAUCAUUUAAUGCCAUCACUACAUUAGGCUCUAAUGUUUAACUGGGAUUAGUGGAGGAUUGGUACGUGAGUUGAUGACUCCGCCUUCCAUAAGCCAAAUACUUGUUUUCAUUGAAAAGAGGGAAACACUUAAUAUCUUCACUUUGACUCCUCAAAUUCCUUGUUGAAAUAACACUAACAUCAUUGUCACCAUCAUCAUCAUUCAGAAGUUUUGGCUCAUCACUAGGCAUCUUCAUGUAAGCAAUAUAUAUAUAAAGGGAGGGAGGGAGGGAAAGGGACGAGGGACAAGAGACAAGGGACAAGGGGGUCCAUUGGUCUAGUCCAUCACUGCUCUCCACAACUUGAUUUUUCACAGUGGAUUGUUUGAUAAUAAACUCAAUUCCAACACAACAACUCUUUUUGUAUGGAAGCAGUGAAUAAGGAAAAAAGCAAUACUCGAGAGUGAAAAUUUAUAACGUGAAAAUUGAUUAGAAAAUAGAAUUGCUUUGCUUACAUGGAGAUGCCUAGUUGAUGAGCCGAAACUCCUGAAUGGCAAUGAUGGUGACAACGACGAAAAGGUGUGGAUUGCAUAGGUAUCAUCACGAUUCAUAGCCAUUGUUAGUUUUAUUUCAACUGAGAGUUUAAGGUGUGAAAGUGAAGACAUAUAUAUAUAUAUAUAUAGGGAGGGAGGGAGGGAGGGAAGAGAAAGGGAGGGAGAGGGACAAGGGGGUUCGUUGGUCUGGUCCAUCACUACUCUCCAAAGCUUAAUUUUUCACAGUGGUUUGUUUGAUAAUAAACUCAAUUCCAACACAACAACUCUAUUUGUAUGGAAGUAGUGAAUAAGGAAAAAAGUAGUAAUCAAUAGUGAAAAUUUAUAACAUGAAAAGUGAUUAGAAAAUAGAAUUGCUUUGUUUACAUGUAAAUGCCUAGUUGAUGAGCCGAAACUCCUAAAUGACGAUGAUGGUGACAACGAUGAAAAGGCGCGGAGUGCAGAGGUAGCAACACACUUCAUAACCAUUGUUAGUGCUAUUUCAACUUAGAGUUUCAGGUGUCAAAGUGAAGAUAUAUAUAUAUAUAUAUAUAUAUAUAUAUAUAUAUAUAUAGAGAGAGAGAGAGAGAGAGAGAGGGAGGGAGGGACAAGGGGUCUGUUGGAUCACUGCUCUUUAAAACUUAAUUUUUCACAUUGGUUUGUUUGAUAAUAAACUCAAUUCCAACGCAACAAUUCUAUUUAUAUUUGUAUUUAUAAAUUCCAUGUAUGUAUUAUUGAUAGCAUGGAAAAGUUUAUCUUCUCUUUUUGUCACUUUCCUUUUGACUUCUUCGAGAGUGUUGGCUUUUUUUUUUAUAUAUAUGCAAUUGCACUUCAAAUAAUUUUCCCUUUGCAACAUUGAUUUUUACUUGGUUUUUUGCCUUCUUUCAAAAAAUAACAAACUUAAUAUUUUUUUAUAUUUUAAAAAAACUUUGAAAAUACAUUAAUUAACUACUAAAAAUGUGUAUAAAGAACAAAUCGCAUAGAAAAAUACUAGAUUUGUUUUUCGAGUGCUACGCUGCAAGUCAAGUAAAAAAUUCUCUAACGUAAAAAAAUAUAUCUAAGCGAUGAUAACUUGAGUCAACCUGGGUUAAGUUGACGAACAUGUGGGAUAUGAAAUCAGGAUACCUUGUAGAAUGGCAAGUGAAAAAACAACAAAACUCAAGGCCCAAUAACCUAAUUUUAAAUGAUGAAAUUUAAAAAAAAAAUCAAUUUUAAAAAAAACAACGAAGAAAAAAACUGUGUCAACAUGAAUUAACUCUACUAGCCUGCCACCUGUGAAAUGAGACCUAGAUUAAAAAUUAUUUAAAAAAAAUGACCUAGAAAAAAGGAUCGAAGUUAAAUAAAUAUAAAAACAUUGAAAAAAAACAUAAGUCAUCCUAGGUUAACUUAACUAACCCGUGGCCUGGGAUAACCUCAUUGAAAGGAAAAAUAUAAAAAAUAAGAAAGUUCAAGACCCAAUAAUCUAAUGUCAAAGGAUAAAAUUGAAAAAAUAAAUAAAAACAACCCAGUUAACUUGACUAAUGACAUGAUCAAAAAGUUGAUGUCUUAUCCCAAGUGCAGGAGUGUCGAAGUAAUAAAUAACCCAGUAAGACCGAGGUCGAACCACAGGGAGGUGAACUAUAUAAAUUACAAAUAAUAUAUAUAUUUAAUAAAACAAAGAGUUUAUGAGAAUUUUAUGGUAUAUUGAUGUAAGGAUUAAACAAGGAUAAAACAAUUGUCAAGGUUAGAGGAUCCACUAAUGGUAUUUCAAAUAAGUAUAAUAUAAACUCUUUUUAUUAUUCAACUAGAAACCAUACACAAAGGAGGUUACAAUCGGAUUAUAAUUUAUUAACAUGAUUAUAUUAAUUAUCUUAUUUGAGUAAUGUCAAUACUUGUAAAUGUUGUCAGGUAUGCAUGGUGAUAACUUAUGUUAACAACAAAUCAAGUUCCUUUCAUAGCACAUGUGUCGGUUAUAUCAUACAGUUGGGCUAUGAAAGUGUCAAGUAUUUGUUGUACCAAGGGUUGUUCAACACAAAUCUAGAUUAACCACAUAACAAGCAAGGUAUUAAGAGUAAGUAAGAUAAUAAAUACAAAACAUGUUAGUAUCAAACAUUAAAGUCCAUGUUGAGUUUAUACUAUACUUAUUCUUAUACCAUUAGUGUAACCUUUUCACCUUAACAUAAUAAACUUAGCUGAACAUUAUGAAUAAGAGAAACAUAGAUAAACAAGAUAAGAACAUAAUUAUAUAAGUAUAGUAAAGGAAAUGAAAAGCAUAAACAAGAGAUUAAGAAAAAUAUAAUAUGGAAUAAAACUUGAACAUUACAAAAUAUAAAGAAAAAGAGUAAGAGCAAGAGCAAGAUCUUGAUCUGAACAACCAAGAUGCCUAAAUUCAUGGCAAAUGCCUCAUUUUAUAGGCCAAAAUUCAGAAUUAUUGAUUUGAUGAUUAAUUGUUGUGUGGGUGGCUACCUCUUGACUUGGUAACAAUCCUUAUCUUCUUGUCUGAGAAAACGUCAUUGCUAACAUCAGAAUUUGAAUAGAUAGUCCUCAUGAAAGUUUUGGGCAAUUGUCUCAGCUUUCCAAAAAAACAAGAAUGAGGUCAUUUGGACUUCUAGAACUCGAGAUAUGGGCUGAACACUAAACAGUGUCUGGUCUGCAGAACAGAUUCUGACUUCUUUGUUGUUGCUACAAUUUGAACUUGAAAACGGUCAUUUUGAAUCUUAAACUCUCAUGAAAGUUUUAGGCCUAUGUCUUAGCUUUCUAUCCAUAUAAACCAGACCUAAAUUCAAGUUCUACAACUCCAGUUAUGAUUCAAUAACCGAAUGGUGUUUCAAUUUGAAUUCAACUAGCAUCUAUUUUCUAAGCUUAGCCCUCUCUUUAUCUUCUCAAUUUCAGUAGUUAAACUCAUCAAUCAAUCCUUUGAUUUAUGUGAUAGGCCUGCAUUUAAAAUGAACAUUUAUCAUAAAUUAAAUGUAUCUUAUAUUAUCAGACUUGUUAUUAUAAAACAUGCUCUAGUUAAGGAGUUAUUGAUACUUCAAGUGCAAAAUAAUGAUAUAAAACCUUGAUAAAAAUACACUUUUAAGUACUAAUCAACUAACUCGAGACCUAGGAUAACCCAAUAAAUUAAGGAAAUGAUAAAAAAAAAAAGCAAUUAAAAGAACGAAAACCAAAAUUGAAUAUAAAUAAAUAAAAUCAAAUGUUAAGGGACAAAAUUGAAAAAACAAACAAAUUAAGAAAAUAAUAAAAAAAAACAAUUAAAAGAAUGAGGACCAAAAUCAGAUAAAAAAAUAAGUGAAGUAAAAUGUUGAGGGAUAAAUUUGAAAAAAAAAAAUCAAGAAAAUGAUUAAAAAAGCAGUAUUUAAAAGAAUGAGUAUUGUAUUUAAUAUAAAAAUUAAAUAAAACGAUAAAAUUAAAUAAAAUGAUAUGAAAAGGGAUGAAACUAGAAAAACAAAAGUAUCCAAAACAAAUAUAGACCAAUCAAAAAAGAAGGACCACAAUUAUAAAAAAAAAAUAGAAGGACAUCUCUGAAUUUUUACUUACAUAACAUGUAUUCCAAGGAGAAAAGAGAAAAAAAAUUGGGGGAAAUCCCACCAGUAUCGAACCACCAUGAAUUGCACUUCUUGCACCUUCACAUCAAUUGUUCUGUCACUGGAUGGUUUGGAUGACAUGGUACUUGGUCCCUUUUUACUAUUGUAAAACGUUGCAAGUGCUGCCCCAAGGACGAUGACAAUGUUCAGUUGUUGGUACAUGUUAUGCUAUGCACACGUAAGUUACUUUUUAUUUUUUAUUAUUACUUUUUUAUUAAAAGACUGAUUUACCCUUAAUUCAAAUAGAUUAUAACAAAAAUAACAUUAAAAAUACCAUAAUACCCCUUGACCACUUUUUUAGUUUUUUUACUUAAGGAAAAUAAAGAAAAUUUACUAUUUUUAAAUUUAUGUUUUUGUUGACUUUUUAAGGGGAUUUAUGUCAUUUAAUUGUGUAAAAAAAGUUGAUAGACCAUUAUACCCCCAAUCAGUUUUAUAAUACCAAAUGAAUUGCCUGGAAAGAUCAUUUUACCCAACAAAAAGGCCAUUUGAUUUUUGUAAUGGAAGGCAAAGACAUCAUUAGCCCUAUAAUAAAAGAUUGAUGGUGUUUAGUUUUUUUUUUAAAAAAUUUAUAAACAAAUAUUUUAUACUAUAGAUAAUUGCUUAAGUUUUAAAAUAUAUCAUAGAACUUAUAUAAACAAGUUUUAUAAUUUUUUCCUUCAUUAUAUUCUAUUAUUUAUAUUCCAAUGAUUAAUUUAUAAGAAAUAAAUUUAAGCUUGGCUGGCUGGCUUAGAAGUAUCAAGAAACUUUAACGAGCUCAACUUACUAGUGAAAUUUGAUCAUACCAAAACUCGGCUUAGGCCCUACAAAAAAAAAAUUGAUUACUAGUGAAAUCUCUUGCUAACAUAUUUUAUUAAGUUUUCAAUUGUGAUUAUUUAUUAAUAUUUUAAGUACUUAAAAGCUACUUUAGAGAUUGGUGGUAAGUGACUCACUACGAGCUAGACUUUUUUUUUUCAGCACAAAAAAAAUAUUUAAAUGACGACAAUAUUUCUAAAGAAACAAAAGAAAUAUGAGUCAAGUUAAUGACCUUUUUACCUUAAAAAGGUACUAUAACUCUAUACUAUAGUGAUUGUUCACUAGAAUAGUAUAAUAAUAUUUUUACUUCUCCACCUAAAAAACUUAAUAUUAGCUUUCAAACAUAUUAAAAUCUUUUAAAAUUUAAUGGAGAAUAAUGAAUUUUUUAUCAUUUAGCACAGUAAAACAACCAAAAUACCAUUGUAAGUAAAAAAAAUUAAACUUGGCAUAAAGGAGAAAUUUUAUUUUUUUUCAUAAUGAUUUUUAGUUAUUAUAAUAUCAGCAAUAAAAUAAAAAAUAUAAAAAAUAAUAAACAAUUAAAAUACACAGUGUGUCAAUGAAAAUACUAUUAAUAGAAAAACAAUUUAAACCUAGAAUUAAAGGGCUUCUUGGUCUUGGCCCUUUUACAGAAGUUUUAUUUGUUUUCAAUUGCAUCCUUCAAUCUUAAUUUGUCAAAUAUUAUAUUCUCCAAUUUGGUUCUCAAUCUUUGAGUUUCAAAUGUUUUUACCUUGAACCUUUUGUAUAAGUUUUAUUGGUUUUUAAUUUUAUCAUUCAAUUCAAAUUAAUGGUAUUAUGUUUUCCAAUAUGGUCCUUAUUGUUUUGAUUUCUAAUUUUUCUUCUUGAUUUUUUGUAAAAUUUAUUAUUUUUUUCAAUUUCACCAUUCAAUCAGAACAUUCUUUUGAUUUUUUAAAUCAAUUUUUAUUCUUUGUUUUUGGAUUUUUUUGUCCUUUCAUUAAAUUAAUUUUUAUUUUCAAUCUCACUCUUCAAUCAAAUAUAAAAUUUAUUUUAUAUUUUAAUUUUGAUCCUUAUUCUUUUUAAUUUUAAUUUUUUUUAAUCCUUUUGUAUAAAAAAAUGGUUUAUAUAAAUAAGUACAUAGGAUAAUUUUAAUAAAUGAUUAAGUAAUCUAUUAAACAUGACAUGUAAAUAAAUAAGUAAAGAAUAUUGCAAGCAUCAAGUUCUAAAAGUCCAUCUUUGAAAAAAAGAAAAAACUCAGUUCUAUCCUUAAAGUUUGUUUAAAUCUCUAAUAGAACUAUAUGCCCAAUAUUUAUGUUAAAAAAAUAAAAAACAUUUUGACAAACAAUACAAGUAGAAUAGGUAAAAUCAAACCGAAAGUACCAUAUUUUCAUUUUUGUUGUGUAUUGCGGAAAAAAAAGAAGAAGAAAAAGAACAUACACACGGGGCUUGUAGCUCAGUGGUCUUGGCAGGCUUUGCCCUGCCUGAGUGUCCUGGUUCGAGCUCUCGUGUGUACCCAGCACUUGAGGGUCUAGCUGCUGUGGUCCAUCGUGGACUUGUUCCGCCCUCCCUCCCGGGUUGGACCCUCUAUGUGCACGCCUGUCACCCCCGCGGUGCCUUACCUGCUCCUGGGCUUGCAGGAUGUCCAGUGGGCCGUGGGGAAUAAUCGUGGUGCGCGUAAGCUGGCCCGGACACCCCACGUGAAUCAAAAAAAAAAAAAAAAAAGAACAUGGUCGGUCCGUCUACAAGGAGAAGUCAACUUUCAUUUGAUUUUCGACUUUAUAAACACGGCUAGCCCACCGAAUUUUAUUAGGGGAAAAGCCCGUUCCCAAGUUGCCAUUGCCAUUAGAUUCUGACUGAUGGCUCACCUGUUUAAUAAUUUUUUAGUGGCUGACGGACCCAUCCUCGAAGCAGCGGAUUAUGCAAAGAGUCAAAUAACUGGGUGCUCACUAUAUUUCUGAGUGCCCCUCACGUCAACUGUCUGUGUGCCCCUCAUAUACGUAUAAAUGAGCACAAGACCAACUUCUUAUUCAUCAACAUCAAAUUAGUUCUCUCUAAAGCUUCCCUUUAAUUUACGGUUUUAAACCUUCUCUAGUUCUAGUUUGUGAGUAAAUUGCGAGAGACCAAAAAUGAGUGUGGAGAUUUUGGAUGGUGCCACCAUUGUCAACUUUCUAGAGGACGAGGAAGCAUUCAACGCGCAAAUAUGUGACCGCUUCGCCCACCUUGAUUCAGACCAUGAUGGCCGGCUUUCCUACGGGGAAAUGUUGAAGGAGCUGCAGUGUUUGAGGUUAUUGGAAACCCACUUCGGCGUGGAUGUGGAAACAGACCCGGAUGAGCUUGCUCUCGUCUAUGAUUCUCUUUUUGUCCAAUUUGAUCAUGACUUGAAUGGGACAGUGGACUUGGAAGAGUUCAAGUCAGAGACCAAGCAAAUGAUGCUAGCCAUGGCCAGUGGUAUGGGUUUCUUGCCUGUUCAGAUGGUCCUGGAAGAAGACAGUUUCCUGAAGAAGGCUGUGGAGUGGGAAUCUGCUAAACUCGUUGCCUGAUUAAUUUCACAUCCAUUACCCUAUACAUGACUCAUUAAUUGUCUUUGUUAUUUCUUUCUUCUCCGAAUGCAUUCCAAGUUUAGCUGAAUGUAGCAAAGAAAAUAAAUGAAAUGCUCUGUUAUUGGUGAAGGUGCAAUUUGGUAUCUUAAAACUUGGUUCUCUCCUCAUGCAAUUUGGUCAUGACCAUCCAGCCAUAGUUAAUAUAACAAAAGGGAAUGGAAUUGGUAGAACAGAGUUGAAUCAAAAUGGGAAAAGAACUUGCGUGUGUCACGUCCAGGGGAACAGAUAAAAAUUAAAGAAAUACUGUCCUAAUAUAAAGUCCAGUUAAAUAAAAACUUGCAGGCGAAUCUGCCGUGCAAUUUAACUAGAUUUUGCGCUCUAAACACCUAAUUCCAUCAUGAUUUGUUUAGCAUGCGUAUGAAACAAACUUCCCACAUUGGAUCACAAAAACAAUGACAUCUCAGGAGAUGGAAUGAAAGAGAGAAUGCUUUCACCAAACAGCUCAAACAGGGAUACCAGAAGAUGCUCAUUAUUCAAGUCUUCAUUCAAACCUUGUUGAGAAUGUGAUGCGGAACAAUAAAUCAAAAAUAAAAAUAAAAAAUUAAAGUAGUAAAGAAUGAAGCUUUACAGAAAUAAGUUAAGAAUUAAAAGUAAAGCAAGGGAAAAGCCAGGGGAAAAAAAAAGAAUUGAAGAAGAAAAGUCUAUCAUUAUUAUUUAAUCAUAAAAAACUCUCCCAAAAAGUGAAAGAGAAACAUAUAAAUAGCAUAACCUUACAAUAUCCACUUAUUGGGUUCAACUCAUCAAUUAAAAUUUUCUAACAUAAAUAAGUCAAAUUAAUAAAAUAAAACAAUGAAAUAGGCCCAAAUGAGCUCAGUCUCCCAACCAAAAAGUGACAGGCUAGGUCAUUUUAUGUCGUCUUUGUCUAUAUACUCGUGUAAUUUGUGGUGUAAGUCUAAAGUCCCCACCAACUCUCCUAAUGUAGCUCUGGGUGACCUUGAUAACACUCCCAAAGUUCUGGAUCAAUCUGCUACAAAGUAUCUAUGGUGAUCUAAGUACAAUUUGAAUCAGGUCGGCCAACCCAAGAGUUAGAAACAGUUGAACCUCACUAUUCCAAGUAAAAAAAAACUUGUUCAUCCAAAAUGACAUCAAUAUUAUCCUUUUGUGUUCAGAUCAAGGUCAAAGGGGUAGAGGUUUCAAUAGGAUCAUCAAGAGGAGAGUUAGGUGGCAUCUCAAAUGGAUCAUUUGGAAUAGGAUGUUGUUUCUGGUAUGCAACUAAAUCCGCAGUGCUAAAUGUAAAGUUAAUGCCAAAAUCAAGUGGUAAAUCAAGAACAUAAACAUUUGGACCAACUCCUUGUAGCACUUUGAAUGGCCCUGCACUACGUGCAUGCAAUUUUCGAUUAGUUCCUGAAGGAAACUACUUGUGUCUAUUCCAUAUAAUAACUUAGUCUCCCACAUUAAAUUUAUUAUAUCAUCUAUGUAAAUAAGCUCAGAGUUUAUAUUGUGCAUUACUUGCUUGAAUUUGCUUAGUGAUCUAAAUAUGCAAAUUCUAAAUUUUACGUGUAAAAAACUUUGUUAACUCAAACACCUUAGUAUGAAGAGAUAUGGGAAGAAGGUUUAAAGGUUUCCUAGGCUUGUAACCAUGUACAACUUCAAAGGGACUCAUGCAAAUUGACCUAUUGACAGAACUCUUAUAUGCAAACUAGGUCAUAGGAAGAACCAAAUCCCAAUUCCUAUUAUGAUAACUCACUAGACACCUCAGAAAGUUGCCUAAUCUGGGUGGUAGGCACUAGAAAACUUCAACUGAGUUCCCACUAUAUGGCGAAGGGUUUUCUAGAAAUAACUCAUAAAUCUAACAUCCUUAUCUAAGACUAUGGUUUGGGGGAAAUCGUACAACUUGACAAUCUCGUUAAAAUAGAGUUCCGCAACUCUAGAAGCAUUUGUGAUCUUAGUACAAAAGAUAAAAUAGGUCAUCUUAGAGAAACAGUCGAAAACCAUAAAAAAGAAUCAUGCUUCUUUGCAGUACGUAGAAGCCCAAUCACAAAAUUCAUACUUACAUUUUGCCAAGGGCAAGUAGGAAAAGGUAACGGGGUGUAAAUACCAAUAUUUUGUUUUUUAUGCUUUGCUAGUUGACAUGUUCAACAUUGACCUCCCAACUUAGCUACAUCUCUUUCAAACUAGACAAAAAAAAUUGAUGUUCCCCCUCUUAAAUGGGUUUAUUUCUUCUAAAGUGUUCUGAAAGACCUCCAAUAUGAAUCUCCCAUACAAACUCCAGCAAGUUUAAAAUUAAAAUCCUACUACAACUUAGAAAAAACAUAGGCGGCUAUCUUUCCUUUAGUUUCAAGGAUAUCUUGGUCACUUUUACUUUUUCAUUACUUCAUAAUCUUCAGAGUAUGAUACCUUAUAGCUUCACGGUUACAAGUCAUUUCCUCAUUACUUUGGGUCUUUAAUGGGUUGUAUGGAAGACUAUAAAUAAGCCUUGAAUCAAUUCUGUAAUAUUUUCUUUCCUUCUCUUCUUCUCAUGGUAAAACAAAGAUUUAAUAUUAUGGGUUUUAUUUUAUUUUGUUUAUGCUUAAUUAAUAUAUUUUUUUCAGCUAGGAUCUAAGGCUUGUUUGGAUCAGGGUUUGGGCUUACUAGUAAAGGUUUUGAGUAAGUUUUUAUAUGUGGGUUAGUUUAGCCCACAAGGGUGGAUCCAUUUGGGUUAAUUUCUUAGAACAAUUUAAACACAUAUAAGCCUAAAUUUCACCAGCGAUUGAUAAAUAAUACUUGUGAAUUUUUUAAUUUUAACAUGUGAGAGAAAUUCUUGUAUUCUAUGGUUCUUAAACGAACUGAAUAUGACUUCUCAAAGUUUAAUUGGCUUCAUGACGUCAUUCGACAUCAUUCCAAUAAUGUUGGUGUCUCAGGAUAGGUUUUUAUUGUGUCACACUUCUAUUAGAUCAAUUUUGGCUUUUUAGGAUCAAAUUUUAAUCUUGAAUGUGGGUUGUGUGACCAUGUAUUCACGAGGUUCACAUCAGUGUUCAAGAGAUGCUAAUAAAUAUCUUUGAGUGGUAAAGGUAUGUCAAUAUUUGAUAAGGGCACUUGAGCAUCCAAUGACAUAGUGAGAUCCAAUUGGACAAGACUCCCAAUCUGAGAGCCAUUUCCCAAUUCAUAUUCUAUCAUACUUUAGAGUUCAUAUAUGGGGUUUCCUCGAAGGUGAUCCAUCCUACCUCAAUAAGCUAGAGGAGCUUGUCUUUAAAAGCAUAACAACUUUCAAUGUUAUGACCACUAGUGCCAUCAUGAUACUCGUAUGUCUAGUUAGUAUUAUACCAUUUUAGAUAUGGGGGUUGAAAUGGUUUCUAGAUAAUCAAAAUAAUUUGUCCAAUAUUGACCAAUCUUUCAAAUAUCUCUUUAAAAGAUAAAGGAAAGAGCGAUAUAGUUUUCUUUAACUAUUGUGACUUUUCAUAUAUUUUCUUAUUAGAUGGAACCUGAUUAGUCAUUUGAGGAGAAUGAUUAGGAUGCUAAGAUAUAGAAUGAUCUUGAUUCAUACUUCUCAUAUAGGAGUUAUCUUUUUAUUUGUCAAACGACAUAGCAUUAAACCUCUCUUCUUUAUUCCAGAUCCUUCUCAAUUUCAAUCCUUGCUCCACACUCUCUACUGUCGUUUUUAUCUCUAUUAAAUAAGCUCAUGAAUUACAAGUUAUGUAAUCACAAUAAGGAGUCUUUGAAGUAUUGAUGAAGAUGGAAUUGAGCUCAUUUUAUAGUAGUGGAGCGUAAACUUGGGUUGUCAUUUGUCGCAGCCUCAUCGCAUAUUCCUUGACUGACUCAUCAUUUCUCAUCUCAAUUCUUUGAAGGUCUAACCUGGUUAGAGCCAUCUUUAAGUUGAAUCCAAAUUGUUGCAGAAAUGCAUCAACCAAGUAUUCUUAUUUCUUCUUUUCAGAGCCAUUUAAAUCCAAGUUGGGUUUUAAAAUUAUGAUAAUAAUCAUUUUUAUCCUUACAUGUCUUAGUUGUAUAAUUUUAAAAUUAAGAGUUUUUUACAAGAAUAUUUUAGAGAAAAAAAAUAACAAAUAUUUUUUCUAGAGACAUGUCCUCUCUAUACCUUCUAUUUUGGAAGUAUAGACAUUCACUCCAAAAUUAUCCGAGGGACAUAUUUAUUUUUAUAUCUUUGUCUCUUCAACCAAAUAUAUUUAUGUCUUCAUUGUCUUCAUCUCUUUUGUUUCAGGACAGUAACCAAACACUAUUUAAUAUACACUAUUUAAACUAUUUUUAGUGAUUUGGAUAUUAGUUAUCUUUUUUGAAUAAAAUUUUAAGAGUCAAGUUUCUCUAUACAACUUUACUAUUUUAUUGUUUAAAGGGUUUUUAAGAAGUAAUAAACCCUAAUACUUUUGGUAAGCUGAAUCAUUUGUAUAAAGAAAGUAUCAUUGUUAACUUGAAUAUUUCAAAAGCUUAAACACCUAAAAAAUGUUAGACUGACAAAUAGACUCCUAAGUAACUAAAUGCUUUUCCUAUGGCCCUUUGAAUUACCCUAUCAUAAUAGAAAGUGAUUCAUCAUGCUAAAGAUAAUCGAGCCGUCUGCCAACCUAACACUACAUUCUGAACUUUUUCCACCGCUCUACUAUAUGUAUUUGUUAACAAGCAUAUGUAACAUAGGAACUCUAAAAUAUUACCCAAUAUUUUUUUGUUAAAGCAAACACUGAAAUGAAUUGAUAUCAAGAGCCACCCUUAAACGAAUAAAACAGUCUGGUUUUUAGCCACACUAACAUUUUUUUACCAAAAAGUUACAAAAGUCCUGUAUGAUAACUUUGAUUUGCUUCAAAUCAAGUUUUGCAAAAAAGAAUUAAGUCACCAACAAAUAUGGAUGACAACUUCACCUGACUCGUUUGCAAUCUAAUGUCAUUCAAUUCAAUUGGAUCAUAUUUUUGUCUAAUUUAUUUGAAAAACAAAUAAAAUUCAAUUCAAUUUGACUAAAGAUGGAUGCGUAGAUUAAUAAAUGGUUCACUUGACCCAUCACUUGACUCAACUUCUACAUGGUUUUUUAACCCUUUUAUAUUUUGUAAAGUUGUAAUUUAUAUUUCAAUAUAGUAUAUGGAUUUUUAUCUUAUUAAGGAUUGUUAUGGUUUUACAUAUAGAUAUAAAGUUUAGACUCUAUUUUAUUGUUUUAUGAUUUAUAGAUGGAUAUUUUUUUUUAAGCUUCAAUUUUAUUUUUUAAAUUUUGAUUAAAAAUAGAACAAUUGGAUCAAAUGAGAUACUUGUCGAAUGAAGAAAGUUCUUCAUCCACUCCAAUCUAAUCCAAUCGUAUAGAAGAUGAAGUCAAGUGCUGGAUUUAGAUAUCUCUGGUUAGAGACAAGAGAGCAAAAUUCAGUUGCAACCCAAUCUAUUAUUGUUUCUGUAAAUAACGAAAAGAUGAGAAAUAAUCGAACUUUUUUACUGAAAUAAACAAAUUCACUCUCUAGUCUCAACCGUAUUGGAUCAAUUUUUCUAUACAUGAAACAAAGGUAUAAGAAUAGAGGAUCUUCUUGUUGAAUACUUUGUGAUGAAGUAUAGGAAUUUGAAAUCUUAGCUUUCCAGCUCACUUAUAACAAAGUCAUUGUGAUACGCUUCAUGAUUAACGAAGUGAAACUAUCUAAAAUACCAUAUCCCUAAUAGCAUUUAGGAUCAAGUCCUACCUCAAACAAUCAUAAACCUUUUUUAGGUCUAUCUUAAUUAUCAUCAAAUAUUUUCUAAUUUUCUUUUAUACAUCUAGAGUUAAGAGCCAAUCAUAUAAUCAUAGUGGUAUUAUUGUGCUUCUUUGAAACAACACAUUGGUACUGACUAGCCAAUAUGUGCCAGUCAAGAGUAUUUGUUAUGAAACUCUGUGUAAACUUCUUAAUUGGUUAGCAUUCUUACUUCAAUGUAAUUAAUUUUUUACGUUCUGAAACUCUCAUAUGAAGCACAUCACGCAUUGCUUUCUUUAUACUUAACUUUUCUUAUAUGCAUGUCUUAUGUGAUAAGGAUAAGGAAAAUCUUCAAGUUUUCUAGUUUGUCGUGUUGGUAACAGACUAUUAACAUAUUUUACAAAAAUAAUGAUAAAGUUAUCUUCAGAUAACUUUUUCUACUCUAUCUGAAUUUAUCUUUUAAAUAACCUAAACUAAUCAGAUAAUUAGAGAGAAGAUAAUGCUAAUUAAUCUUGGUAAACUUCUAUCUUAGCCAAAUUAUCCUUUUACCAACCAUAAAAAGAUCACUAAUCUAAACUAAUAAAAUGACAAUUAUUACAAAGUUGAUCCUGCUAUUCUCUUAGGUCAUUAUCAGAAGGGGGAAAGUAAAGGUCUAAAGGCAAAAGGUCCAAACUUCUAUAUUUAAAAUUAGUUGAAAAUCACACCUUUUUUCUUUAUAAGUGGCAUGUUGAUGACAACUAUGUCACAUUUAGAAAGCAUUAAAUCUAGAUCCUCCUCAAACUUUUUACCUGUUAUAUUCUCCAACUCUUUCUCCAUCUUAAGUUUAUUAUGAUACAGUAGAGUGCAACUGAAAAGCUUCAAACGUUGGAGUAAAAGCCUUCUGAUGCGUCUAGCACCAAUAGUUCCCACCAUCUUACCUUCAAGAUUGUAAGCCCUGUAUGCAAUAGCUGCCACAUUCCACUCUUAUUGAUUGAUAACUUGAUGCUAUCUAAGUAAGAAAUUUUAUACAAGAACAAGGAUUCUCAUGAGCUCAUUUUUUGCAACUGAGACAACAUUGCUUCCUGUGACCUUUAUAGCAGUUAACCCAGCAAUAGCUACUACCUCCAAAUCUAUAUGAUCAGAACCAAUUCUAGUAAUGAGAAGCGCUUUUUUGCCCUCUUGAUCCUUUAUGCCGUAACAUCUGCGGGGUGGAAAGGUGUAGUGAUGAGGACAUGGAGAUCAAGAAUAUGCUUGUCAAGUUCUAUGACAAUUAUACAGUUGAAGAGCAAAAAAUCAACAAUCUAGCCAUCCUAAUAUUCUUGGAAAUAAAAGGCAUAAAUCUAAGAUCUUGAAAUCAUUUAAUGUCAUCACUACAAUUAGGACAUGGAGAUCAGCAGUUAAUCUUAUUGUUAAAGUAAAGGUCUAAAGGAAAAGGAUCCAAACUUCUAUAUUUAAAAUUAAUUGAAAAUCAUACCUUAUUUUCUUUGUAAGUGACAUGUUGAUGACAACAAUGUCAUAUUAAGAAAGCAUUAAAUCUAGAUCCUCCUUAAAAUUUGCCCAUGUCUGAUUCUCCAGCUCUGGCUCCAUCUUAAGUAUAUCAUGAUACAGUAAAGUGCAAUUAAAAGGCUUCAAACGUUGGAGUAAAAUCCUUUUGAUGCGUUAGCACCAACAGUUCCUACUAUCUUUCCUUUAAGAUUGUAAGCCUUGUAUGCAAUAACUGCCACAUUUCACUCCUUAUUGAUAACUUGAUGAUAUCCAGGUAAGAAAUUUCAUACAAGAACAAGGAUUCUCAUAAGCUCAUCUUAUGCAAUGGAGACAACAUUAAAAAGAGUGAAGCACUUAAUAACCUAUAUAUGCAGGAAUACAACUUCAACAAAGAACCUUAAUGCUUAAAAACAACACACUUACAAGCUUGUAGCUCCUCAUACUUUCAGCCUCGUGUGAAGAGAUGGACAAUGAUUGUCAAUGGUGAUCAUAUGCUAUAUUUCUAGCCUGUUGUUCAUAAUAAUUCUAUUAAGGAUUAAAUACUUGAUCAUCUUACAUCUUUUUAUGUGGAGGCCUACUUUAGUUUGUGUUAUGCCAGGUGUGUGUAAUGAGACAUAUAAUGAAUGUUGUGCAAAUAAAAUAUACACUCACUACAAUCCAACCAUUCUUUGUCAUCAGUUACAAUGAACUGGUGACCUUGUGAUUCCAGCCAGUCACCAAUGCCCAAAGCUCUUUCCAAGCAACCCACAAAAUUAGUGUUUGAUCAAAUUUUAAAAAUUAAAAAAAAAUUAAAACCUAUAGAGUAACAAUAAAAAUAUUAUUAAAAACAAAAACAUUAAACCUGGAGUUAAGGGGCUUCUUGGUCUUAGCCUUUUUAUAGAAGUUUUAUUUGUUUUUAAUUGCAUCAUUUAAUUUUAAUUUAUCAAAUAUUAUAUUCUCCAAUUUGGUGCUCAAUCUUUGGGUUUCAAAUUUUUUUACCUUGAACCUUUUGUAUAAGUUUUAUUAGUUUUCAAUUUCAUCUUUCAAUUUAAAUUAAUGGUAUUAUGUUUUCCAAUUUGGUCUUAUUAUUUUGAUUUCUAAUUUUUUUCUUAAUUGUUUUUGUAAAAGUUAUUAUUCUUUUUAAUUUCACUCUUCAAUCAAAACAUUCUUUUGAUUUUUUAUGUUAAUUUUUAUCCUCAUUCUUUAGAAUUUUUUUAUCCUUUUACUAAAUUGAUUUUUUUUUUCAAUCUCACCCUUCAAUCAAAUAUAAAUUUAUUUUAUAUUUUAAUUUUGAUCCUCAUUGUUUUAAUUAUUAUUUUUUAAUCUUUUUGUAUAAGAAAAAUGGUUUUCUAUAAAUAAGUACAUAGGAUAAUUUUAAUAAAUGAUUAAGUAAUCCAUUAAACAUGACGUGGUAAUAAAUAAGUAAAGAAUAUUGCAAGCACCAAGUUCUAAAAGUCCAUCUUUGAAGAAAAGAAAAAAAAUGAAAAAAUUCAGUUAGAACCAUAAUUAAGUCUCUAAGACAACUAUAUGCCCAUUAUUUAAUGUUUGACAAACAACACAUGUAGAAUAGACAACUAUAUGCCCGUAUUUUCAGUAUUUUCAUUUUUGUUGUGUAUUGCGGGGAAAAAAAAAAAAAAAAAGAACAUGGUCGGUCCGUCUUACAAGGAGAAGGGAAAGUGACCGCUGUCGGUGCUUUCGACGGGGGUUUUGAAAUUACCAGCACCAUCUUUGGACCUUCGAGAAGUCAACUUUCAUUUGAUUUUCGACUUUAUAAACGCGGCUAGCCCACCGAAUUUUAUUAGGGGAAAAGCCCAUUCCUAAGUUGCCAAUGCCAUUAGAUUCUGACUGAUGGCUCGCCUGUUUAAUAAUUUUUUAGUGGCUGACCGACCGAUCCUCGAAGCAGCGGAUCAUGCAAAGCGUCAAAUAACCAAAUGGAAACUGGGUGCUAACUAUAUUUCUGACUGCUAGUCAACUGUCUGUGUGCCCCUCAUUUACGUAUAAAUGAGCACGAGACCAGCUUCUUAUUCAUCAACAUCAAAUCAGUUAUCUCGAAAGCUUCUCUUUAUUUCACAGAGCACAGAGCCAACUCCUGAUUCAUCAAUAUCAUAUUAGUUCUCUCUAAAGCUUCCCUUUAAUUUACGGUUUUAAACCUUCUCUAGUUCUAGUUUGUGAGUAAAUUAAGAGAGACCAAAAAUGAGUGUGGAGAUUUUGGAUGGUGCCACCAUUGUCAACUUUCUGGAGGACGAGGAAGCAUUCAACGCGCAAAUAUGUGACCGCUUCGCCCACCUUGAUUCAGACCAUGAUGGCCGGCUUUCCUACGGGGAAAUGUUGAAGGAGCUGCAGUGUUUGAGGUUAUUGGAAACCCACUUCGGCGUGGAUGUGGAAACAGACCCGGAUGAGCUUGCUCUCGUCUAUGGUUCUCUUUUUGUCCAAUUUGAUCAUGACUUGAAUGGGACAGUGGAGUUAGAAGAGUUCAAGUCAGAGACCAAGCAAAUGAUGCUAGCCAUGGCCACUGGUAUGGGUUUCUUGCCUGUUCAGAUGGUCCUGGAAGAAGACAGUUUCCUGAAGAAGGCUGUGGAGUGGGAAUCUACUAAACUCGUUGCCUGACUAAUUCCACAUCCAUUACCCUAUACAUGACUCAUUAAUUGUCUUCGUUAUUUCUUUCUUCUCCGAAUGCAUUCCAAGUUUAGCUGAAUGUAGCAAAGAAAAUAAAUGAAAUGCUCUGUUAUUGGUGCAAUUUGGCAUCUUAAAACUCGGUUCUCUCCUAAUGCAAUUUGGUCAUGACCAUCCAGCCAUAGUUAAUAUAACGAAAGGCUGACAGAAACACGAAUAUCUUUCCUCUUUCAAGAGGGCUUCAUCAACUAAUAGAUACAUGGGCAGAAGGAUUGAGCUGGAUGCAUCUCAGUCAUCGUUCAAAAUUUAGCUUCAAGGGAAUGGAAUUGGUAGAACAGAGUUGCAUCAGAAUGGAAAAAGAACUUGCGUGUGUCAGGUCCAGGGGAACAGAUAAAAAUUAAAGAAAUAACUGUCCUCGUAUAAAGUAUAGUUAAAUAAAAAUUUCGAGUCGAAUCUGUUGUGCGUCUGAAAACCUAAUUCCAUCAUGAUUUGUUUAGCAUGCGUAUGAAACAAACUUCCCGCAUUGAAAAGAGGGAAGCAAUUAUUUAAAACGGUAGAGAUUGCGUUUCAAUCAAAACGCAGGAGCCAAGCGUUUGGUAAUAUCAAAAACGCUAAAAAUGACCGGUGGGACCCAUGCCAAUUCAUGUUUUAAACGCGACAUUCGCGAAGCAGCUCUAGGCUGCUUUUUGAAAUUUUGUAUUCGCGUGCACAGUGCAAUUCACUUGCACUGUUCGGGUGAUUUUUUUUUAUUUUUUUUUUAGUGUGUAUAGUUUUUGUAUAUAUUUUUUUUUAAAAAAACUAGUUUUACAUUGUCAUGUAAACAAUAUUUUUUUUUCCUGAAAAACUAGUAUAGAGCGAAUUAAAUUCACUCGCACUGUAAUAUCAAAUUAAUUUUAUUCAUGAUAAUAUUUUAUCUAAUUUUAUUGCAAGCUCAAAAAAUUAUAGAAACUGUAGUUCUUGUCGAAUGAAUUUUGUACGUAAUGGAAUUGUAGAUGGUUUAAUGGCAUAAUAAAAAAUAUUUUAUAUAAAGUAUUAUUUAUUUCAUGAAGUAAUAGUAAUGGUUAAAUCUACAAUAUUUAAAUUAAAAAUCAUCAAUUUUAAUAUGUAUAUUUUAAUUAUUUUAUAAUCUCAAUUUGAAAAGUAUUUUUUUAACCAAACACAUUAAACUACUUUUUCUUCAACCUCAAUUUCAACCACAGUUUUAACCAAACACCUAUUUUUUCAAACCAACCUCAACUAAAAGUACUUUUUAUAAAACAACUUUUUUCAAAUCACAACCACAAAAGCUACCGCAAUACCAAACACACACUUAAUAUCCUAUAUAUGCAAAAACGCAACUUGAACGAAGAACCUGGAUGGUUAAAAACAACACACUUGCAGGCUUGUAGCUCCUGAUAUUUUCAGCCUCGUGUGAAGAUGGACAAUGAUGGUUGAAAAAUCUUUGUAUGUUUUAUCUAGGUAGAUUACUCAUAAUAAUAAGAUUAUUUUUAAAAAAUCUUUGUCUUUUUUACCUGGGUAGCUCAUCCAUUGUAAUAAGACUACUCGAAAAAAAUCUUUGUAUUUCUCUACUUGAAUAGGUCACCCAUUACAAUAAAACUACUUUGAAAAGACCUUUGAGUUUUUCAUUUGGGUGGGUCACCCAUGAUAAAUUGAACAUUUCAGAAUCUUUGAAUUCUACCAAUAGACAGGUUGCUUGGUACUACCAUAUCACUUCAAAAGUCUUUCACAAAGAUAAUCUUUUUCUUUAGAAACUCUAUCUCCUUUUUUUUCGAGUACACUUUCUAACCCUCAUUCUUCAGAUAGUGUGCUUUUUAUCCCUAUCUAUUUUUUUCUGAGUGCACUUUUAAGCCCUUACUACAAACAUUUUCAGAAAGAUUGACCAUUUCUUAAUAUGGUGAGUCCAUAAUCUCGUUCUUUUUCUUCAUCUUUACAAAACUUAUUGUCUAAAGUCUCUCACGAGACUUUCGUUAUAAAGAUUGUAAAGAGAGAGGCAACUGUCAUAACUCAUUUCUGGAUUAUUCCCUAAAUUCACAUUUUUUUUCUUUCCAAAAUAAAAGUCAAAAAAGAAAAUAAAGAAAGCAAGAAAACUAGCGACAUAUAGGAAUAUUAAGUUGUGACUUUGGAAGCCUAAUUGUAUCCUAUUUUACCCACAACUGGAGAGACAAUGUAAAUUAAAGGUCAAAUUAAAUGAUUAUUGGAUGAAUCUACUUAAAAAUUAAGCUUGAGGAUAUAAUUAGAAUUUUAAUAGGCCAAUUUGAUUUAAUCAUGGGCCAAAUUGAGAAUUUAAUUAUGUUUAAGAAUUAAUUUGGGUAAUUAAAGGAUUUAAUGAGGUGCAAGAACUUAAUUAUACUUUAAAUAGGUCAAAUUAAUUUUAUUAAGGGCUUAAUUGAUGAAAAUCUAAGUUUAGAAGCCCAAUUUGAGCUUAAUUGAGAAAAUUGGAAUUUUAGAAAACCAAAUAUAAUUUCCUUAAAGUCAAUUGGUUCAAAUUAGGGGUAAAAUCGCAAGAAAAACAAAUUUUUUUGGUCAAUUAAGGGUUAAAUUGAAGAGAUUUGCAACUAAGGACCAUUUUGCAAAACAUAUCGAACUAUGGGGUAAUUCAUGAAAAUCAGGGAUGAAAUUGAAGAAAAUUUAAAGUUUGAUGGUCAAAUUGCAUAAAUCCAAGACCAAGGAUCAAAUUGAAAAAGAUGCUAAAAUUCAGGGCUGAUAUUGAAAUCCAGCAAGGGCAAAAUUGUAUUAAAUCAAAAGUUUGGAGUCAAUUAGGGGUCAAAUUGAAAGAAAUCAAAAGCUGAAGGACCAAAUUGAACUUUGGAAAACUACCUUAAUUUAAGGUCCAAAAUGGAUUUGUUUUUUAACAUUAAAAAAAAAAGGCAACCAGACGACGCAUCGUCUAGUUAAUGUCCAUUGUCUUCUUCUUCUGACCCGAAAACGUUGUUUGGAUGGCUAUUUUUCAUGGGCAUUUAAUACUUCAUCUCUCAAUCAAACCGGACAAACCAUACACCACCAUGAUGAGCUGACAUUAUACUUCACCCCAGAGUGGAUCUCGCCGGCUAAUUAUCCCUACAGCCGCCACAGUGUCGCCUCAAAUUGGUCAAUCUAACUAACAUUUAGCAACCAGCUUUUUCAGGUCAUGAUAACAACUUUGAACCAACGGUUAAGAUCCUUCUGUGUCGAAUCAAGAGCCAAGAUUGGCACUAGUAAAGACAAGAUGUCCAUCUUCCAUGCCCCGAGCAUCAAGAAAUUAGAGCCCAAAUUUGGUGCAAAUAAGUUUUUCUUACCAGAUCUUUUGUUCUUCUCCACCAGCCAUCUUCUUCCUCUUCUUUCGCAACAUCUUCGCUUCUUUCGCAACAUCUUCGCUUCCAGCAAUGCUGCCAACAACACGUUGGCCUUCCUAGCAUUGCUAAUUAGCAAUCCCCCAUAGUUGGUAACCUUUUCUUCCCCUUUUUGGAUGCAAACGAGGCAGCCAUUUGUAAGCAUAACAUUUGGUUCUGCAUGCAAAAUUCAACCACUUCAUAUGGUCAUUGGGUCGGGCCAAUGACCAUGUGAAGAUAGGUUGGACCCCUUCCAACCCAACCCAUGAUGGCUUGGUUAAGUACAGCCCAUAAAAAAGGAUGAAGGCCAGGUCUGUUGGGCUGCCUGGCGCCACGACCUGACCCGGCAAGGUCCGGCCCAAAUGGCUGGGUAGGGCCCAGCCCAAUAUAUAUAAUAAUAAUAUUAAAAUAAAAAUAAAAACUUUGAAAGCCCUUCCAAAAAAUUUGUGAUUUUCUCGCACGUUUUUCUAUCAAUUUUGCAUAAUAUCGGGCUGUAUAAUUACACUAUAUGAUACAUAUCCGAUAUUAAAACACCUAGUUUUUUCUGAAACAUUUCAAAAUAAAAUUCAAAAUUUUUUAAAUUAAUUUCCUCUUUCAAAAAAACAAAAAAUGUUUUGUUUUCAUGCAUAUAGUCAAAUCCUCAAAGUUUUCCAAGCAUGUUUUCAAAAAAAAAAAACAAAAAAUUGUAUUUUUCUCAUGUUUUAAAAUAUAAAAUAGAUAUCAUAACUAAUUUAUAAUUAUCCAUUAGGGUUUAACCAAAAUGUCAAAAACCCUUCACCAAUUAUUUUUUUCAUUUUAUAUUAUGGUUUAAAUGUAGACUUAAAUAUUUGGGGGCGUAAAACUAUACAGUAGAGUAUACCCUCAGGUAUUAAAGACAAAAGUUCAAUAUAAAUGCGAUACUAAAAUUUAGACUUUAGAACGGUUGGAUUUAACAUCAUAAGGUAUAGAUUUUGUCAUGAAGAGAGAUCUAUCUUAAACCUUAGACGAUUUCAACGAAUAGAAACUUAACUUAGAAUAACAAUCAAAAAACAAUGUACCUUACUUCAGGUAGGCUGCACUGGAGAUAAUGCGUCUUUUCCUUACACAAUCAGUCUCUUACUCAGACUCUCACAGACUAUAUGUUUCCUAGUAACCAUUAUAUUAAAUGGUGACUCUUAAAUCUUAAUUAUAAUUUUAUGCUUACAUCAAAAACUCUUUUUUUUUCUAACAAUACCUUUCAAGAGGCACUUAAAACGCGUCGUUUGACGUCGCCUGUGACAUAAUCCAUUAAACAUGAAAUGGAAAUAAAUAAGUAAAGAAUAUUGCAAGCAUCAAGUUGUCUAUCUCCGAAAAAAAAAAAGAAGAAGAAAAAUUUUGGAACCUUAAUUAAGUUUGUUUAAAUCUCUAUCACACCCAUUAUUUAAUGUUUGACAAACAACACAUGUAGAAUAGGUGAAACCAAACCUACAGUACAAUAUUUGCAUUUUUGUUGUGUUGUGAGAAAAAAAGAAAAGAAAAAGAACAUGGUCUGUCUCGGAAGGAGAAGGGAAAUUGACCGUUGUCGCUGCUUUUGACAGGGGGUUUGAAAUUAGCAACACCAUCUUGGGACCUUCGAGCAAGUCAACUUUCAUUUAAUUUUCGACUUUAUAAACACGGCUAGCCCACCGAAUUUUAUUAGGGGAAAAGCCCGUUCCCAAGUUGCCAUUGCCAUUAGAUUAUGACUUAUGGCUCACCUGUUUAAGAUAGUUCUAAUAAUAAAAUUUUAGUGGCUGACCGACCGAUCCUCGAAGCAGCAGAUUCUGCAAAGCGUCAAAAAACCAUGCAGCAAAGGGUAAUUAGAAGCAAGUCAGAAAAGCAAAAACCAAAUGGAAACCGGGUGCUGACUGCUCGUCAACUGUCUGUGUGCCCCUCAUUUACGUAUAAAUAAGCACAAGACCAACUUCUUAUUCAUCAACAUCAAAUCAGUUAUCUCGGAAAGCUUCUCUUUAUUUCACAGAGCACAGAGCCAACUCCUGAUUCAUCAAUAUCAUAUUAGUUCUCUCUAAAGCUUCCCUUUAAUUUACGGUUUUAAACCUUCUCUAGUUCUAGUUUGUGAGUAAAUUAAGAGAGACCAAAAAUGAGUGUGGAGAUUUUGGAUGGUGCCACCAUUGUCAACUUUCUGGAGGACGAGGAAGCAUUCAACGCGCAAAUAUGUGACCGCUUCGCCCACCUUGAUUCAGACCAUGAUGGACGGCUUUCCUACGGGGAAAUGUUGAAGGAGCUGCAGUGUUUGAGGUUAUUGGAAACCCACUUCGGCGUGGAUGUGGAAACAGACCCGGAUGAGCUUGCUCUCGUCUAUGGUUCUCUUUUUGUCCAAUUUGAUCAUGACUUGAAUGGGACAGUGGAGUUAGAAGAGUUCAAGUCAGAGACCAAGCAAAUGAUGCUAGCCAUGGCCAAUGGUAUGGGUUUCUUGCCUGUUCAGAUGGUCCUGGAAGAAGACAGUUUCCUGAAGAAGGCUGUGGAGUGGGAAUCUGCUAAACUCGUUGCCUGAUUAAUUCCACAUCCAUUACCCUAUACAUGACUCAUUAAUUGUCUUCGUUAUUUCUUUCUUCUCCGAAUGCAUUCCAAGUUUAGCUGAAUGUAGCAAAGAAAAUAAAUGAAAUGCUCUGUUAUUGGUGCAAUUUGGCAUCUUAAAACUCGGUUCUCUCCUAAUGCAAUUUGGUCAUGACCAUCCAGCCAUAGUUAAUAUAACGAAAGGCUGACAGAAACACGAAUAUCUUUCCUCUUUCAAGAGGGCUUCAUCAACUAAUAGAUACAUGGGCACAAGGAUUGAGCUGGAUGCAUCUCAGUCAUCGUUCAAAAUUUAGCUUCAAGGGAAUGGAAGAACAGAGUUGCAUCAGAAUGGUAAAAGAAUUUGCGUGUCAGGUCCAGGGGAAUAGAUGAAAAUUAAAGAAAUAACUGUCCUCAUAUAAAGUCUAGUUAAAUAAAAACUUCGAGUCGAAUCUGCGGUGCGAUUUAACUAGAUUUUGCGAUCUAAACACCAGAUUCCAUCAUGAUUUGUUUAGCAUGCGUAUGAAACAAACUCCCCGCAUUGGAUCAAAAAACAAUGACAUCUCAGGAGAUGGAAUGAAGGAGAGAAUGCUUUCGCCAAACAGCUCAAACAGGGAUACCAGAAGAUGCCCAUUAUUCAAGUCUUCGUUCAAACCUUGUUGAGAAUGUGAUGCGGAACAAUAAAUCAAAAAAUAAAAUAAAAAAUUAAAGCAGUAAAGAAUGAAGCCUUAAAGAAAUAAGUUAAGAAAUAAAAGUAAAGAAAGGGUAAAGCAAAAAAAAAAAACAGAGAGAAUUCAGGAAGAAAAGUCUAUCAUUUUUAUUUAAUCAUAACAAACUUUUGCAAAAACUAAAAGAGAAAUAUAUAAAUAGCAUAACCCUAAAACAUCCGUUUAUUGGGUUCAACUCAUCAAUUAAAAUUUUCUAGUAUAAAUAAGUCAAAUAAAUAAAAUAAAACAAUGAAAUAGGCCCAAAUGGACUCAAUCUUCCAACCAAAGAGUAACAUGCUAGGCCAUUCUAUGUCGUCUCUGUCCAUAUACUCGUGUAAUUUGCAGUGUGGGUCUAGAGUCCCCACCAACUCUCCCAGUGUAGCUCUGGAUGACCCUAAUAGCACUUCCAAAAAUUUGGAUCAAUCUGCUGCAAAGUAUCUAUAGUGAUCCAAAUACAAUUUGAAUCAGGUUGGCCCACCCAAGAAUUAGAAACCGUUGAACCUCACUAUUCCUAGUAAAAAAAACUUGUUCAACCAUAAUGACAUCAAUAUUAUCUUUUUGUGUUUAGAUCAAGGUCAAAGGGGUAGAAGUUUUAAUAAGAUCAUCAAGAGGAGAGUUAGGUGGCAUCUCAAAGGGAUCAUUUGGAAUAGGAUGUUGUUUCUGGUACGCAACUAAAUCCGCAAUGUUAAAUGUAAAGUUAAUGCUAAAAUCAAGUGGUAAAUCAAGAACACAAGCAUUUGGACCAACCCCUUGUAGCACUUUGAAUGGCCCUGCACUACGUGCAUGCAAUUUUUGAUUAGUUCCUAAAGGAAACUGCUUAUGUCUAUUUCGUAUCAUAACUUAGUCUCCUACAUUAAAUUUAUUAUAUCAUCUAUGUAAAUAAGCUUAGAGUUUAUAUUGUGCAUUACUUGUUUGAAUCUGCUUAGUGAUCUCAAUAUGCAAAUUCUAAAUUUUACGUGUAAAAAACUUUGCUAACUCAAACACCUUAGCAUGAAGAGACAUGGGAAGAACGUUUAAAGGUUUCCUAGGCUUGUAACCAUGUACAACUUCAAAGGGAAUCAUGCCAUUUGACAUAUUGACAAAACUAGUAAAUGCAAACUAGGUCAUAGGAAGAACCAAAUCCCAAUUUCUAUUAUGAUAACUCACUAGACACCUCAAAAGGUUGCCUAAUCUGGGUGGUAGGCACUAGAAAACUUCAACUUAGUUCCCACUAUAUGGCGAAGGGUUUUCUAGAAAUAACUCGUAAAUCUAACAUCCUUAUCUAAGACUAUGGUUUGGGGAAAAUCAUACAGCUUGACAAUCUCGUUAAAAUAGAGUUCCCCAACUCUAGAAGCAUCUGUGGUCUUAGUAAAAAGGAUAAAAUGAUCCAUUUUAGAGAAACGGUCAACAACCAUAAAAAAUGAAUCACGCUUCUUUGCAGUACGUGGAAGUCGACACACAAAAUCCAUACUUACAUUUUGCCAAGGGCAAGUAAAACAGGUAACGGGGUGUAAAGACCACUAUUUUGUUUUUCAGACAAUUGUAUAUUAAUGUUAUUGUUAUUAUAUUAUAGUCUACAUCUCUUUUCAAACUAGACUAAAACAAAUUGAUGUUCCCUCUUUUAAAUGGGUUUAUUUCUUCCAAAAUGUUCUGAAAGACCUUCAACAUGAAUCUCUCAUAUCAAAAAUUCACACACGGAUGUUUUCGAGAUAUAAAGCUUAUUAUCCCAAAACAAAUACCCUUCUUUGAGGUGAUAACUAUCUACAACAUGGUUAUUCUCAUCUCUCGAAGUCAUAUAUACUUCUCUAAAUUCUGAGCAAGAUUCAUACUCCUCUUUGAGCCUCUCAAAUCCAGUAACUUCUCAUUACGGAUAACAGUGUUACUCGACGAUUCAAGGCAUCUGCCGUUUUAUUCUAGAUUUAUGUUUCAAAACAAAUGAAUAACCUUGCAAAUAUUCAACCCAAUGACCAUGCCUAUUUCAACUGCAAAUAGAGAAAAGGAACAGACUAUGCGUUUCUAAGGCAAAUAAGGAGCAUAAACAAGUUGUUUUCCAACCCGGUGAUUGGGUUGGGUGCACAUGCAUAAGGAACAAUUUCCUAACCAAAGGAAAUCAAAAUUACAUCCUCGUAGUGAAGACCCAUUUUAGAUUUUUAAAGAGGAUCAAUGACAACGCAUUCAAAAUUGAUCUUUUAGGUGAAUAUGGUGUUACUGCUACCUUUAAAGUUGUUGAUCUUACUUUGUUUGACAUAGGUUUUGAUUCGAGGUUGAAUCCUUUCGAGGAGAGAGGGGAUGAUGUGGAUCAGCCCACAAACUCCAGCAAGAACCCAUUACAUGUUCUAAAUGGGCUAAUGACUCGGGGUAAGACAUAGGCAUUGAAAGAGGCAUUGAAUGCAUUGGUUUUGAAUGUUUCGACCAAGUCAAAUUUGAAGGGUCCAUUGGAGUAUCAAGAGAAGGCCUUAGUACAUCUUAUCCAUGUGCAAAAAGGACCUAAUCUAACCUUAUUUGGGCCAUGAGGUUUCGGUAAUAAGGUUGCCACUUUUCCAAAUGUUCGGUCAGUCUUGUUUUUAUAAUGUUUCUAUGUAUUUUUUAGAUUCCUAAUUAGUUUUGGACUUGCUAUUAUGUAUUAGAACAUUAAUUAUUUCCUUUAAGUAUUAGAAUUUAUUAUUUUAUUUAUUUUCUUGUUAGGUGAGGAGAAAACACAACAAAGAAAACAAAAAAAUCCAAGUUGACUUAGGAAGUGGCGGCAAAGCUUCCUAAUUAUGCAAGGAGAUUAUUCCAAUAACUUCAAUUAUGUUUCCUAAUAUUACAAGGAUCCUAAGAGGUGGCAAAAGAAGGGAAUUAAUACCUUAAAUUACUUUCCUUUCAAAAUAAGAAAAAAAAACAUAAGUUUAAGAUCAAAAUCCUACUACAACUUGCAAACAACAUAGGCGGCUACCUUUCCUUUAGUUUCAAGGAUUAAUGAGAUGUAUGGAAGAUUAUAAAUAAGCCUUGAAUCAAUUUUGUAAUAUUUUCUUUCCUUCUCUUCUUCUCACGGUGAAAUAAAGAUUUAAUAUUAUAGGCUUUUUUAUAUUUUGUUUAGGCUUAAUUAAUAUAUAUAUUUUUAGCUAGGAUCCAAGGCUUGUUUGGAUUAGGGUUUGGGUUUACUAGUAAAGGUUUUGGGUCAGUUUUUAUAUGUGGGUCAGUUUAGCCCCCAAGGGUGGAUUCAUUUAGGUUAAUUUUUUAGAACUAUUUAAACACAUGAAAGCCUAAAUUUCAGCAGCGAUUGAUGAAUAAUACUUAUGAAUUUUUCAAUUUUAACGUGUGAGAGAGAUUCUUGUAUUUUUUGGUUCUUGAACGAAAUGAAUCUAACUUCUCAAAGAUUAAUUGGCUUCAUGGCGUCAUUCGACAUCAUUCCAAUAAUGUUGGUGUCUUAGGACAGGUUCCUAUUGUGUGACACUCCUAUCAGAUCAAUUUUGUCUUUUUAGGAUCAGAUCUCAAUCUUGAAUGUGGAUUGUGUGACCACGUAAUCACGAGGUUCACAUCAGUGUUCAAGAGAUGCUAAUAAAUAUCUUUGAGUGGUAAAGGUAUGUCAAUAUUUGAUACGAGCACUUGAGCAUCCGAUGACAUAAUGAGAUCCAAUUGGACAAGACUCCUAAUCUGAGAGCCAUUUCCCUAUUCAUAUUCUAUCAUGACUUUAGAGUUCACAUUUGGGGUUUCCUCGAAGGUGAUCCAUCUUGCCUCAAUAAGUUUGAGGAACUUGUCUUUAAAAGCAUAACAACUUUGAAUGUUAUGACCACUAGUGCCAUCAUGAUACUCACAUAUCUAGUUAGGAUCAUACCAUUUUAGAUAUAGGGGUUGAAAUGGUUUCUAGAGAAUCAAAAUAAUUUGUCGAAUAUUGACCAAUAUUUUAAAUAUCUCCUUAAAAGAUAAAGGAAAGGGCGAUAGAGUUUUCUUUAACUACUGUGACUUUUCAUAUAUUUGCUUUUUAGAUCGAACCUAAUUAGCCAUUUGAGGAGAAUGAUUCGGAUGCUAAGAUACAUGAUGAUCUUAAUUCAUACUUCCCAUAUGGAAGCUAUCUUCUAUUUUGUCAAAUGACAUAGUAUUAAACCUAUCUUCUUAAUUCCAUAUCCUUCUCAAUUUCAAUCCUUGCUCCACCCUCUCUGCUGUCAUUAUUAUCUCUAUAAAAUAAGUUGAUCAAUUACAAGUUAUGUAAUCACAAUAAUGAGUCUUUAAAGUAUUGAUGAAGAUGGAAUUGAUCUCAUUUUAUAGUAGUGGAGCGUAAACUUGUGUUUCCAUUUCUCGCAGCCUCAUCGCAUAUUCCUUGACUGACUCAUCAUUUCUCAUCUCAAUUCUUUGAAUGUCUAACCUGGUUAGAGCCAUCUUUAAGUUGAAUCCAAAUUAUUGCAGAAAUGCAUCAGCCAAGUAUUCUCAUUUCUUCUUUUCAGAGCCAUUUAAAUCCAAGUUGGGUUUUAAAAUUAUGAUAAUAAUCAUUUUUAUCCUUACAUGUCUUAUUUGUACAAUUUUGAAAUUGAGAGUUUUUUACAAGGAUAUUUUAGAAAUAAAAAAUAACAAAUAUUAUUUCUAGAGACAUGUCCUCUAUGUACCUUCUAUUUUGAAAGUAUAGACAUUCACUCCAAAAUUAUCCGAGAAACAUAUUUCUUUUUAUGUUUUUAUCUCUUUAACAAAACAUAUUUAUGUCUUCAUUGUCUUCGUAUGUUCUGUCUCAGGACAGUAACCAAACACUACCUAGUAUACACUAUUUAAACUAUUUUUAAUGAUUUGGAUAUUAAUUAUCUUUUUUGAAUAAAAUUUCAAGAGUCAAGUUUCUCUAUACAACUUCACUGUUAUUAUUGUUCCAAGGGUUUUUGAGAAAUAAUAAACCCUAAUACUUCUAGUAAGCUGCAUCAUUUGUAUAAAGAAAGCAUCAUUGUUAACUGGAAUAUUUUAAAAGCUUAAACACCUAAAAAAAGUUAGACUGACAAAUAGACUCCUAAGCAACUAAAUGCUUUUCCUAUGACCCUUUGAAUUACCCUAUCAUAAUAGAAAGUGAUUCAUCAUGCUAAAGAUAAUCGAGUCGUCUGCCAACCUUGCACUCCAUUCUGAACUUUUUCCACCACUAUACUAUAUGUAUUUGUUAACAAGCACAUGUAACAUAGGAACUCCAAAAUAUUACCAAAUAUUUUCUAUUAAAGCAAACCCUAAAUAUGAAUUGAUAUCACGAGUCACCCUUAGACGAAUAAAACAAUCUGGUUUUAGCCACACUAACAUUUUUUUACCAAAAAGUUACAAAAGUCAUGUAUGAUAACUUUGAUUUGCUUCAAAUCAGGUUUUGCAAAAAAGAAUUGUCACCAACAAAUACAGAUGACAACUUCACCCGACUCGUUUGGAAUCUAGUGUCAUUCAAUUCGGUUGGAUCAUAUUUUUAUCCAAUUUUAUUUGAAAAAUAAAUAAAAUUCAAUUCAAUUUGACUAAAGAUAGAUGCGGAGGUUAAUAAAUGGUUCACUUAACCCAUCACUUGACUCAACUUUUACGUGGUUUUUUAACCCUUUUAUAUUUUAUAGAGUUGUAAUUUAUAUUUCAAUAUAGUAUAUGGAUUUUUAUCCCAUUAUUCACGGAGGAUUGUUAUGGUUUUACAUGUAGAUGUAAAGUUUAGACUCUAUUUUAUUGUUUUAUGAUUUAUAGAUGGAUAUAUUUUUUUUUUAAGCUUCAAUUUUAUUUUUUAAAAUUUGAUUAAAAAUAUAACAAUUGGAUCAAAUGAGGUACUUGUCGAAUGAAGAAAGUUCUUCAUCCAAUCCAAUCGUAUACAAGAUGAAGUCAAGUGCUGGAUUUAGAUAUCUCUGGUUAGAGAUGGGGGAGCAAAAUUCAGUCGCAACCCAAUCUUUAUCGUUCUUGUAAAUAAAGAAAGGAUGAGAAAUAAUCAAACCCCUUUACUAAAAUAGACAAAUUCAUUCUCUAGUCUCAACCGUAUUGGAUCAAUUUUUCCAUACAUAAAACAAAGGUAUAAGAAUAAAGGAUCGUCAUAUUGAAUACCUUGUGAUGAAGUAUAGGAAUUUGAAAUCUUAGCUUUCCAACUCACUUAUAACAAGGUUACUGUGAUACGCUUCAUGAUUAAGGAUGUGAAACUAUCCAAAAUACCAUAUCCCUAAUAACGUUUAGGAUCAAGUCCUACCUCAAACAAUCAUAAACCUUUUUUAGGUCUAUCUUAAUCAUCAUCAGAUAUAUUCUAAUUUUCUUUUCUACAUCUAGAGUUAAGAGCCAAUCAUACAAUCAUAGUGGUAUUAUUGUGCUUCUUUGAAACAAAACACUGGUACUGACUAGCGAAUAUGUGCCAGUCAAGAGUAUUUGCCAUGAAACUCUGUAUAAACUUCUUAAUUGGUUAGCAUUCUUACUUCAAUGUAAUUAAUGUUUUUACAUUCUGAAACUCUUAUUUGAAGCACAUCACGCAAUGCUUUCUUUAGACCUAACUUUUCUUAUAUACAUGUCUUAUGUGAUAAGGAUAAGGAAAAUCUUCAAUUUUCCUAGUUUGUCAUGUUGGUAACAGACUGUUAACGUGUUUUGACAAAAACAAUGAUAAAGUUAUCUUCAGAUUACUUUUUCUACUUUAUAUUAACUUAUCUCUUAAAUAAUCUAAACUAAUCAAAUAAUUACAGAGAAGAUAAUACUAACUAAUCUUGAUAAACUUCUAUCUUAGCUAAAUUAUCCUUUUACCAACCAUAAAAAGAUCUUCACUAAUCUAAACUAAUAAAAUGACAUUUAUUACAAAGUUGAUCCCGUUAUUCUCUUAGGUUAUUAUUAGAUGGGGGAAAGUAAAGGUCUAAAGGCAAAAUGUCAAAACUUCUAUAUUUAAAAUUAGUUGAAAAUCAUACCUUGUUUUCUCUGUAAGUGGCAUGUUGAUGACAACUAUGUCAUAUUUAGAAAGCAUUGAAUCUAGAUCCUCCUCAAACUUUGCUCCUGUUUGAUUCUCCAACUCUGUCUUCAUCUUAAGUCUAUCAUGAUACAGUAGAGUGCAAUUGAAAGGUUUCAAACGUUAGAGUAAAAGCCUUCUGAUGCAUCUAGCACCAACAGUUUCCACUGUCUUUCCUUCAAGAUCGUAAGCCCUGUAUGUAAUAACUGCCACAUUCUACUUCCCAUUGAUUGAUGACUUAUGAUAUCCAGGUAAGAAAUAUCAUACAAGAACAAGGAUUCUCAUGAGCUCAUCUUUUGCAACUGGGACAACAUUGCUUCUUGUGACCUCUGCAGUAGUUAACCAGGUAGCAGCCGCUGCCUUCAAAUCUCUAUGAUCAGAACCAAUUCCAGCAGUGAGAAGAGGUUUGUUGCCCUCUUGAUCAUUUAUGUCGUAACAUACGCAGGGUGGAAAGGUGUAGUGAUGAGGACAUGGAGAUAAGGAAUAUGCUUGUCAAGUUCUGUGACAAUUACACAGUCGAAGAGCAAAAAAUCAACAAACUGGCCAUCCUAAUAAUCUUGGAAAUAAAAGGCACAAAUUGAGCAUCUUGAAAUCAUUUAAUGUCAUCACUACGAUUAGGACAUGGAGAUCAGCAGUAGAUCUUGUUGUUCUCUUAGGUCAUUAGGGAAAGUAAAGGUCUAAAGGCAAAAGAUCUAAACUUCUAUAUUUAAAAUUAGUUGAAAAUCAUACCUUGUUUUCUAUGUAAGUGGCAUGUUGAUGACAAUUAUGUCAUAUUUAGAAAGCAUUGAAUCUAGAUCCUUCUCAAACGUUACACUUGUCUGAUUCUCCAAUGUGGCUCUAUGUUAAGUCUAUCAUGAUACUGUAUAGUGCAAUUGAAAGGCUUCAAACGUUGGAGUAAAAGCCUUCUGAUGCGUCCAACACCAACAAUUCCCAUUGUCUUUCCUUCAAGAUCAUAAGCCCUGUAUGCAAUUGCUACCACAUUCCACUCCUCAUUGAUAACUUGAUGAUAUCUAGGUAAGAAAAUUCAUACAAGAACAAGGAUUCUCAUGAGCUCCUCUUCUCCAACUGAGACAACAUUGAAAAUAGGGAAACACUCAAUAUCCUAUAGAUGCAGGAACACAACUUGAACAAAGAACCUAAAUGCUUAAAAACAACACACUUGCAGGCUUGAAGCUCCUUAUAUUUUUAGCCUCGUGUGAAGAUGUGGACAAUGAUUGUCAACGGUGAUCAUAUGCUAUAUUUUCAGCCUCUUGUUCAAGGUAAUUCUAUUGAGGAUUAAAUACUUACUCAUCUUAUAUCUUUCUAUAUGGAGGCCUAUUUUAGUUUAUGUUAUGUCAGGUGCGUGUUAUGUCAGGUGCAUCCUCCAUGAAGAAAAAAAAUGAAAAAAUUCAGUUAGAACCAUAAUUAAGUUUGUUUAAUUCUCUAAGACAACUAUAUGCCCAUUAUUUAAUGUUUGACAAACAACACAUGUAGAAUAGACAACUAUAUGCCCGUAUUUUCAUUUUUGUUGUGUAUUGCGGGGAAAAAAAGAAGAAGAAGAAGAAAAAGAACAUGGUCGGUCCGUCUUACAAGGAGAAGGGAAAGUGACCGCUGUCGGUGCUUUCGACGGGGGUUUUGAAAUUACCAGCACCAUCUUUGGACCUUCGAGAAGUCAACUUUCAUUUGAUUUUCGACUUUAUAAACACGGCUAGCCCACCGAAUUUUAUUAGGGGAAAAGCCCAUUCCUAAGUUGCCAAUGCCAUUAGAUUCUGACUGAUGGCUCGCGUGUUUAAUAAGUUUUUAGUGGCUGACCGACCGAUCCUUGAAGCAGCGGAUCAUGCAAAGCGUCAAAUAACCAAAUGGAAACUGGGUGCUAACUAUAUUUCUGACUGCUAGUCAACUGUCUGUGUGCCCCUCAUUUACGUAUAAAUGAGCACGAGACCAGCUUCUUAUUCAUCAACAUCAAAUCAGUUAUCUCGAAAGCUUCUCUUUAUUUCACAGAGCACAGAGCCAACUCCUGAUUCAUCAAUAUCAUAUUAGUUCUCUCUAAAGCUUCCCUUUAGUUUACGGUUUUAAACCUUCUCUAGUUCUAGUUUGUGAGUAAAUUAAGAGAGACCAAAAAUGAGUGUGGAGAUUUUGGAUGGUGCCACCAUUGUCAACUUUCUGGAGGACGAGGAAGCAUUCAACGCGCAAAUAUGUGACCGCUUCGCCCACCUUGAUUCAGACCAUGAUGGCCGGCUUUCCUACGGGGAAAUGUUGAAGGAGCUGCAGUGUUUGAGGUUAUUGGAAACCCACUUCGGCGUGGAUGUGGA